AUAAACAUAUGUAGCACAAACUAAACUAGCUCGAAUUUUUUCAUGAAUCCUAUGACAAUACUAGCUUGGUGCGUUCAUGAAAUACUAUUGUAGCAAUAUGGAAAACAACUCUUAUCACAAAACAUGUUGGAAAAGAGCCAUUGAAUUUCACAAGAAGUUAUAGCCAUUACACUUUAUUUAGCUUAAGUGGAAAAACAAGAAAUUCUGUGUUGCUUUUUGGAUUUCCAAGAUAUAGGAGAAGAACCCAACAAUAUAUAAUACUUGGUAAUGGAACGAUGGGUUUCUAGACAAGUCACCCAAUCAAAGUCACAAAACGCAUUAAGUUGAAGUGUACUAGAUGGAGAAAAAAGAAUGUCGAUUUCGACUGAGUGAUUGUUUAAUGUGUCAAAGCAAGCGACGAGCAACAUCCAGAUAUGGUUGUUUAGGAUUAGCCAUGAAUUGAUUAAGAAUUUGAACUAAGAAAAUAGUGCCUGGACAACGAAUAGUGAGAUAGAUGAGGCAUCUAAUAUGCCUAUGAUAUAAAAGAAGAUUGGGUAAAAGGUCUCCAUCAGUUGAAGUAAGUGAGAGGUUGGGUUCCGUAGGUGUCUUGGUAGGCCGAGAACCAAGGAAGCUAGUAUCCUCUAAAAUAUCAAGUGCAUAUAUUUGUUGGGAAAAAUAAAUACCAUGCUGGGAGCAUGAAACUUCAAGUCUUAGAAAUAUUUAAGUGGACCAAGAUCUUUUAAGGCAAAGCAAUCAGAGAUAAUUCUUCAAAGUUGAAAUGACAGAAAGAUAAUUGGUACAAACCAAUUGUUGGCAAUGUCAAAUUACUUUAUUUCCUAUCCCUGGAUUGAAUAGAUAGUUAUUUGUUUUGAUCUCUAUCUUUCUACCUUUAAUAGGUAUUGGUAUUUACCCAGACUUUAUUCUCUCAUUAUUAAUUGACAAGGUUGAAGCUAUUCUAUCUAAUUUUUAUUUUAUUUCAUUUUAUUAUUAUUUUUAUAUAUACAGAUAGAUUUCAUGAAUAAAAAAUAAAAAUAAAAAUUAAGCUUUUGGUUUUUAUAAUUGGUGCAUGCCUCUAACCUUAGGUUUCCCUAGACUUGAUCAAAGCAUAAAAAAAAUGGCUACAAAAGCCAAUAAAAUUAAUUAAUCUAGAGAAAAAAUAACUCAUAUUUGUGAUUUGGAUGUUUCCAGAUCAAUUCUAAUUUGCUAAAGUCGUUGAAGAAGUUAUAGAUCUCGUUUACUUGGUGUUCUUCCACCUAAUCUCUCCUUACACAAAUCCAAACACGUAAGAGAAGUAUAAACUACUCUUCCUCCCUAAGAGUGGUUAGAAUUUCUCUUUGGAAGAUAAAAGACAAAAGAUUGAAACCCUAAUCCCUAAGGGAGUAUUUAUAAAUCAUCCUAUGGGUUUAAGUGACUUGUGCCUAGGUAUUCACAAAAUAACAAUCAAGUGUCCUAAAGCUCUAAGGACUUUUGACUACGUUGUAAUGUUAUUUGGAUUAAAAAAUGCUAAAGCUACAUAUCAACAUUCUAUGAAUGUACUUUUCCAUGAUUUAAUUGGUAAAAUAAUGAAGGUCUAUAUUGAUGAUAUAGUAGUGCAGGGUUCCAUAGGUAGUUUUCAGCCCAAGAUAAUAUAGGCAAAAAAACAGCAACCAGUCUAUUAUUUUAGUCGAUUGAUAACUAAAGUAGGAAAGAAUUAUUCUCCAAUAUGAGUAUUAUAUCUAGCACUACUUUUUUUCCAUAAAGCUCAAACAUUGUAUGUUGCCUACCAUAGUCUAGAUGAUAGCAAAAAUAGAUGUAGUAAAAUACGAUGUUGUCACACCCUAUCCCUCAAAGGUUGAAUGGGAAAAUAAAUAUUAGCCAUCCAUCUUAAAAGAUUGCAUUGAUAUGCAUGAGAUGUCGAGCAUGCCAACGAUUGAGAUCUUUACAUCAUCUCUAGGCCUAAAAGAAUUGGGAGAAGCUCAAGCAAUGCAUAUGGAGUUAGAAGAAUUGGGAGAGUCUCGAUUCAAAUCUUUGGAUCAUCUCUAAGCCUAAAAGAGAUAAGUUGCUUGGACCUGUGACAAGAGGGCAAAGAGAAAAGUUUUUAAUGGUAACCCAUUCAUCUUCAUUUUAAAUUUUGUACCGUUUAUCUUUUCAUUUUUAAGUUUUAAUUUUUUUUAAUAUUUUUCUAAAUUUAAGUUGACUAAUUAAAAGGUGUUUGAUAUUGGCUAAAACCAUUUAGAUAAAACUAUCUCACCAACAUUUUUAUUUUUUCAAAGACACAGAUUACGGGCAUUUUCUUAAUGACUUGCACUAGAUUUAAAAUUCUCUCUCACAAUCUGCUAUCGUAGGACUACGUUUACAUUAAAUCCUCCUCCUUCGCCUCCUUGUUGAUUGAGGAUGCUGCCUGUUUAUUGGAAUGGUCUGGGCGAAGAUUCCAUUCCCCCAGAAUAGAAUGUAGCCAAUACUCAACCCUGCCACCACCCCACACCCGUAUCCCAUCCAUGCCACCCUCCAAUCAAAUUCAAUUCUCGGAUCAGAGUCCAAGAGUCGUUCAUGAGUUGAUGCCUCUGCUUCCUCAUCGACUCUGCAUUUCCUGGAUAAUGGAAAUCCGCAUAACAUUGGGUUCCCCUCGUAUGAUUUUAGAGGAAAUGUGUUGAAUUGACCUCCGCUAGGUAUGGCUCCUUCGAGGUUGUUUCCUGCCAAGUCCAAGAAGGAAUGGAAUGUUGGACUUGUUAACUGCACAGGAAUCUCCCCUGAUAGCUUGUUGUUUGAGAGAGCCAAUGACUCAAGCUGGUGAGCAUUCUCCAGUGAUGAUGGUAUAGGGCCAUCAAGGUUGUUACUAGACAAGUCCAGGUUAUGCAAUGAAUUAAACUCUCCGAUGGACUCUGGGAUUUUCCCUUCCAAUUGAUGAUUGGAGAGAUCAAUACUUGUGAAAAAAUCUAGAAUCCUUUCUAGUUGAAACUCUCCUCCUUUCAUUGUUAUCUUCAUUGAGCUCUGAAACUCAUAAUAACCCCUUUUGACUCCAAGGUAAUUUGGUCCGGAAUUUUCAUCUUCCUCUUUCAUCAUUGCUUUCCAAGUGUGGAAGUACUCAGAGGGCAACUGGCUUGCGAAGGCAUUGGAAGAUAGGUCAAUCACAUGAAGCAUUGGAAAGGCAUUCCUCAUCCGGGGAUGUUUAAUCUGGCCAUAGAACCUAUUGGAGUGCAGGAUGAGAACUUGCAGUUGUUGUAAAUUCUCCAACCUGAACGGAAAAAUAUCAUUUAUCUGGUUGUUAACCAGGUGUUCUAAUUGAUUUCAGUUGAACACAAGUAUAGUUAAUGAUUCUGCAUAAACCCGCGGCAUGGCUCCCUUCAAACCAUUCCCACCUAGAUUUAGUACUGACAGAGAACUGCUGAAGUUACCUAGACAACUUGGUAUUGUGCCAUCCAAAUUGUUAUUUGAUAGAUCAAGGACUUCAGAUAGAUCAAGAUAACGAGGAGUGGUCAAGUUUGAGAACAUGUCCAAGUCCAUGCUACCUUUGAAGUCAUUGGAAGAAAGAUAAAUGACUUCUAGACUCGUGAGUUGAGCAAUCCAUCUUGGAAUAGGGCCCUGCAACACGUUAUCACUAAGAUCUAGCUCCUUCAAAAAUGGGGAAGGCUUGUAAGGAAGCUGGGUAGGCAGAGCUUGGAGUCGGUUCUCGUGAAGAUCUAAUACCUUCAAUGAUGGGAAUAUAAACAAAGAAUAAUUUAUUACACCAUCAAGUGAGGCAGACAAGAUCGCUGUCUGGAGACAAACUAGUGAUCAUCUUGUUUGGUAGAAUCAGAGAUGGAAUUGAUUCACUGAAAUGGUUUGAUGAAAGGUCCAUAGUUUCAAGUUUUGUGAGAUUGACAAUGGAAUGUGGGAUUUUUCCUGAGAAAUUGUUAGAUGAGAGGUCCAAACUCUGCAGCUGCCUGAGGUUGCCAAUUGAACUUGGGAUUGAACCAUGAAAAUGGUUUGACGAGAGGUCCAAACUUUUCAGCUGUACAAGCUUACCUAUCCCUUUGAAAUGGUUCGAUGAAAGGUCCAAAUUCUGUAGCUUUCUAAGGCUGCCAAUUGAGUUUGGGGGAUAGGACCACUGAUAUUAAGACCAUUAAGAUCUAAGUCAAUUUAUUAUUAAAUUACAUCUAAUAUAAUAUUAUGAUAUUUGAUUGUAAUAUGUCUAAUUUUAAAAUAUAUAUUAAUAUUAAAAUUAUGAUUCAUUUAAUUCAAUUGUAUUAAACAAUAUAAAAUAAAUUAUGAUAUAUAUAUAUAAUUUUUUAAUAUUUAAUUAAUUAUUAAUGAUAUUAAAAACAUUAUAAAGAAAAUUACAUAAUUUUUAUAUUUUUGAUAAUCAAUUAAAAGAAAAUUUUUCAUUUAAUUAUAAAAUAAUUAUAAUUAAUUUGCUUUUUAAAAUAUUCUUUUAAUAUUUUCUUUAUAUAAUGAGUUUAACUAUAUAUAUGUUUAAUGCAUAUUAUAUAAUAAGGGUAAGUUUGACUAGAUGGUGAGUGGGUUGAACCUCAAACCUUUUGGUUUGGGGUUCAAAUCUCCUCAUAUAUCGCCACAUAUCGUGAUAUUUUCCUCUUGAUCCCUACCUUUAAUAGGGAUGAACUAGCUACCUUGGAAAGAUAUCCACCUUUUCUUAUCAUCCCUUUCUCUUAUCAUUUGUGAUUUAUUAAAGGAUUGGCUCAGAUUAAUGUAAAUAUAUUGAAUUAAACUAAAUCAUGAGAGAUUUUAUUGAAUACUAAAUGAUUAUAAAAGUUGUAUCCAAACUCAAAAGUUUUUUUCUUUCUUUUUUAAUUUGCUCUCUGUUCACCAAGAAAUUUAUGGUAUUUAUGAAAAACCUAACCCUAAAAACAAAAACAAAAGUGUUAAAAUUUCCAAUGAGAAGCAAAAAAGCCGAAUGGGGAAAGUCUCAAAGUGAAAUUCUGGAAAUUAUAGUUUGUAUAAAAAAUUUCAAUACCUUCGUAGUGGUGUCAAAAUGCAUUUUGAUAAAUGUCUAAACCUUAUAGGCCUCUAGCAUGCUUCUAAUGUGGUAUUGGGUUGAUUAUGACAUGUAUCAUAAUGUAUCUUUUUGUAUUAUGAUGUAUUGAAAUAUUGCAUCUUAUAUCAAAAUUGUAUCUUAAUAUAUCUUUUUGUAUCUUGAUGUAUUGAAAUGUUGCACCUUGUAUUGAAAUUGUAUCUCCAUGUAUUAUUCAUUUUGAUAAACCCUAAAAAUUUUGGUAUCUUCAGAAUGCUUUUGUAGGAAAAUUUGGAUACAUCCACUAUAUUGAAAUGUUUAUCAAAAUUAAUCUUUCAUAUUGAAAUGCAUUUUGAUAAACUCCUAAACUCACUAGAUCUUUGAGAGGUUGAGGUUGGUGAUUUUCAAUACCUUAUUGUGGCAUCGAAAUCAAUAUUGAAAUGCAUUUCUUGUAUCAAAAUGGUGUCCUCGCAUCAAAUUGUGUAUUGCUCGACAUCAAAAUGUAUUCUAAUAACACCCCAAACUUAUUGUGUUUGGAUUGACUCUACUCUCUUGUAUUGAAGUUGUUAGGACAAUGAGUCUUCAAUGUAUUUUGACAAUUUUGUUUCAUUCUAUUUUUGGCUUAAGAAUCUUUUUAGAUAGUGACUUACUCUCCAUCGAAGAUCCAAGGCUAUUGUUCAUCCAACCGAAAAGUCACAGGUAUAUCCAAGAAGGUUUGACUUGUGACAAGUUAGGUAAUCAAAGGGGAUAAAGUAAAUUGAUAUAUUUUAAAAAAUUAAAAUUAAAAAGGUUUGUUAAAGGACAAUUCGUUUGUUUGUUUGUUUUUUUUAUUUUUAAAUAAGAUAUGAUUGAAUUAGAAGUUUUAAAAUUGAGCUAAAAUCUCUUAAUUAUUUUUUUGACAACUUUGGGAUUUUAUUUUUAAGAAAGUUGAUAUUUUGUUUUUAACAAAAUUCUUUUCUUAAUUAAUUUUUAGAAAGUUGUUAUUCAUUUUUUUUUUUUUAAGAAAAUUAUUUUUUUAGUUAAUCUUUAGACAGUAGAUAUUUUAUUCCAUUUCCAACCAUUUUGGGUUUGGACAUUGAUGAGAGAGACUCAACCUAACUUGCUCUACCAUUCCCAAUCUCUCAAGAAAGAUUCAAGGAUUGAAUCUUGGGUUGUUGGAAGAUUUACAUUCCUUCAACGAGGCUGAGGAGUAUUCAUUAGAGUAAUUGGAGAUUGUUACAUUACAAACAUGGAUCAAGUAGUAGGUACGGAAAAAUAAUUCUUAAGGGUAAAACAAUAAAGUAAAUCUAUGUAACUUGAUCUCAUAUAAUGGAUUUAGAUUAAAGGUUUUAAAUCUUAUGAUUUUAUUAUUAUUAUUAUUAUUUUUAUUAUUUUAUAUCUCCAUAGUAAGUGUGAGUUUUCCACAAAAAUUAAUGUGUUCUUUGCAUGCUUGUUUACUUUUUUAAAUAUUUAGGAUAUUUUGUUAAUCCUUGAUAACUUGCUAGUUUAAUUAGGUUAAAAACUCUACUCCCUAUUUAAAUUUAGUUAUUAAUUCUUAAUCCUUAUAUUAUAAUUUUUAAUUACACUCAUGCAUCCCCUGUGUUACCCUAUUGGACCACGACUUUUUAGAAGUGAUGUUGAAAUCCACUCUUCCGUAAUAAAAUUCCUCUUUUUCCUUGCAUUCCUCACUAGAUGUAAAGAUUGAUCGUCAAUUUGAGGCUUAGCACAUAUUUAAGUUACAAGAUAAUGAUAUGCACUCAAAAGUUAUUUAAAAGCCUAUUUUUAUAUAUGGAAAAACAUCAGUUUUGAGUGCUAAUCAACUACUGCAUAUGGGAUUGUAACUGCAUUUUAGUUGUCGUCAUUGUCAAGCAAGGUUUUAAGUUGAAGUUUUUGAAGGGUGCAUCACGUGGGCUUGCUGGUUCAGAUAUCACCCGCAUUUUCAAGACUAGAAUUUAACCUCACAGUGUACUCUGCUACAAGCUUGGCGAAAGAUGACGACUUGUUCUCUAGCAAUCUCGUUGGGGUAUCGUAUUCCUCAAUUAGCCCUACAUCAUCGACAUUUCCAGGGAAAUAAAUCAAGAAGAAUGCAGAUGAAGUUAAGAGUGCCAUUAGUUCAUGUUGAUAGUACUAACCAUGAUCCAGAAGUAGAACCCUGUCACUAUCAAGAACAGAAGUAGUUCGAUGUGCAAUAGUUAUGACUGUAGAAUCGACAAAGUGUUGUCUAAGGGUUUGCUGAAUCAGAUUUUCUGUGGCUGUAUCAACUGAUGCAGUAGCUUCAUCAGGCACCAAGACCUUGCUUUUCUUGAGUAGAACUCGGCCAAGACAAACCAGUUGCCUCUGACCCAUGCUCCAAUUCUCUCCAUUCUCAAUAACUGCCAAAUGCAUACUAACAUUAGGAGACUUAUAUGAGGUUUCUAUUUAGAUUUUAUGUUAGCAUGGCGGGAGAAAUAACCUGUAGAAUCUAGCUUUCCUUCUUUCUUCCUGACUUCAUCUCCAAGCUGGCACUUAUCCAGAGCCUGAACCAAUAAGUUAGUUAACAACAUUGCACUUCUACAGUAUUAAGAAAUGUGGCGAAGGAAACUAUAUUUCUACUAUAUUAAGAAAAGAUAGUAGAGGAAAACUACAUGUCUACCAUACUUAAGUAUAUCAAUAGAAUAGACAAAACCUACCUCCCAAAUCUGCUCAUCUGACUACUCUUCAAGUGGGUCAAGGUUGCUCCGUACAGUCCCUUCAAACAUGGUUGGAUCCUGAGGGAUAAUGCUUAGUCUGGACCGCAAAUCAUGUAGUCCAAUGGAAGAGAUGUUGGUACCAUCUAUCAUAAUCUGACCAGCAGCAGGUUCAACAAUUCGAAAGAGGAUCUGUAUGAGGGUUGAUUUACCGCUGCCAGUUCACCCUACAAUGCCAGUCUUCAUUCCUCCUAAACUGCAGAAAUACAUUACUUAAACACAGCAUCUAAACUGCAAAACCGGCAGUCCAUCUUGCAGCCAAUUUCAUUACCCUUAUCUUAAAAAUGAAUCGGCACUAAAAAACCACCAUAUCAACAGUAAAGAAACUUUCAUUUUGAGGCCAUAGUAAUUGACAUGGUACAUACAAAUUGGCACCUCCUCAAUAUGCAAUGCUUGUGAUUGAGCCCCGGCUCAGCAGGAUCAGAAAGGAACAUGAGCAUGCCAUGAAUUGUAAGAGUUAUCCUGAAUUAGGAUUCCAUUUUAAUGCAGUUGGUUUAAAAUGAAUCAAAUUACUCGAUAAGCAAUGCACUACUCCAAAUUUUUUGCUAAGCAACAUUUUGGAGUAAAGUUCUGUUUAUACCAAAAAUGGUUUUGAACCUACUGGCAUUUUCAGGAACAGAUAUGAUUGAUAAUCUAAUCUGCAAGAGUACAUGGCAUCAGUAAGCGAAGAAAAUAAUUAAUGUAAUAUGAGAAACAUAAGGUGAUCUUAACUACAGAGCAUGAGAUGUCAUGUGACAAAGCCAUGUGUUGGCUGGCAUUAAAUAACAAGAAGAGGUCCUAACAAGUUCACAAUGGUUACCUGAUACCAGAUGCAGGUUGCAAUCACAGGAAUAAAGACAAUGAAAACCUGCCAUGCAACCUGUGACAUAACUGCAAUAAUUCCCCGGAGCCGAAUCAAUGAGAAGGCAAAUGCCCCAACUUGCAUGGGAAUGUUUGUGUCGAUCGCAUUUUGGUCUGUAGAAGCCUGAAAAAAGGGAAGGAUCAAUUAAGUAAUAAUCUAACACUUCACUUUGGUCAUUAGGGAAAAAUGCAAGGCAGAAAUAAAUAUAUAUUCAUAUUUGCACUUACUCUGUUUAGAAUCCGUCCACUUGGGGUGGCAUCAAAGAAUGACAUUGGGGCACGGAAAAGGCUCAAAUGCAUUUUAUUGAAGAGUAUAGUAGCUGUUACAAGAAGCAUGGCUCUAGAAAGGACGCUAAAAGAACUUCCAACAGCCAAAGCUACAUAAACAAUCAUGAGAGUAGAACCUCUAACUGCAGGUUUCACAUCAUCUGACACGGGACUUGACCAAGCCAUCCAAUAAUUGCUUCCAAUCUGAAGCAGCUGAAAGAGAAUCUGUGACAACAAUAUAAAGGGCACAAGAGCUCCUCCAUAUGCUGUCCUGAUGUAUUUCCAAUAAACCCAUAGCCCAACUUUACCUUUCUCUCUCUCCUCUUCUUGAACAAGCUGACCUUUUGGUCCAUCUAUCUCCUCUGCUUUACCAUUUUGGCCACCUUUGUUUUCUUCUUUUUCUAUAACUUCAGAAGUACCACCAAUAUUAUCACUGUCCUCAUGGAUACUUGAUUUUUCUGAAAGUGACCCUGCCUCUACAGAAUUGAGUGCUGACAAAGCUUUCUUAUGUGCACCAACAAGUUCCAUAAAAUCAGUUCCAGAGUUGAGAAUUUCAUUGUACUUUCCAGCUUGUGUAAUUCUUCCAUCUUUCAUGACCUGCGGGUAUGCUACAUUUCUUCAGUUUAUCUAAUGGAAACAAAGGCAGGGAAGAAAAAAAAUGGUAAUUACUCACCAGUAUGAGAUCAGCAGCAGGUAAGAACUCUACUUGAUGUGUAACAUAGAUCACAGUUUUCGAACCCAAUAGACCCAGCAAACAUUCCUGUUAUAUGAAGAUUACUUACAAAUAAGAUCAAUGAAAGAUUUUAUUUUUAUUUUUAUUUCAUUUAUUAUAUAUAAUAAAAGGGAAAGGAAAAAAAACAAAGGGCAAUGGGUUAGCAAGGGUCCCUAAUUACCUCAGCCAGACCAAGAACCAAAUCUCAUAUAGCCCAUAGCAGUGCAUAUUUAAACAUACAAGGAUAGCUCAAUUUCUACUUGAUGCAAUGGCAUUGUAUAGAUAACAUGUUUUAUUUCAUAUAUAUGUAUAUUGAUCAAACUCAGGCUUUUAUAAGAGAAAGAAAUUACCUUAAAGAGAUGGGUUCCUGUAUGAGCAUCCACAGCACUGAAAGGAUCAUCAAACAGAUAAAUAUCAGCGUUUUGGUAAAGUGCACGUGCAAUCUGUAUUCUUUGCUUCUGGCCACCACUCAAAUUGAUUCCCCGCUUACCUAUAACCGUCUGAUCACCAAAUGAGAGAACCUCCAGGUCCUUCUUCAAGGAACAUGCAUCAAGGACCCUUUCAUACCUUUCUCUGUCCAUCUCCUUACCAAACAAGAUGUUCUCUUCUAUCUUGCCACUCUGUAUCCAAGGAGACUGAGCAACAUAGGCCUUUGUUCCACACAGCUUAAGGAUACCAGAUAUCUUAGGCACCUCUCCCAAUAUACAGGAGAGUAAGCUUGACUUGCCUGAGCCUACAGUACCACAAACAGCAACCCUCAUGCCACGGCACACCCGCAAAUUAAUAUCCUUCAGUGUUGGAUUAGGGGAAGAUAAAUCCCAAGAGAAAUUCCCAUCCACUAUCUCAAUUGCUGUAUCAGAACUACCUUUUGGAAGCCUCUCGAUAACAUCACUCUGCAGGUCAACUAGACGAAGAAAGGAUGUAAUUCUGUCAAGGGAUACUUUAGUCUGAGCUAUCAUUGAGAUUAGGUCAGGAAGACUGUAGAUGGGUUGUUGAAGUAUCCUGAAUGUUGCAAGUGAAGAUAAGAUCUUCCCUGAUUCAAGCGGGAUUCCUAUAAGCAUGCAAGUUCCAAAGGUGACCACGGACACAAAUGUUGGGGCAACCCAGAAAAAAAAAGUGGUCAUGGCUGAAGUGUAAAGAUAUUUUUUCAACCACCCCGUCUCAUUCUUCCGAAGGUCUACAAUUUUAGACAAAAACUUCAUCUCCCAUCCCUGAAGCUUGAGAAUCCUCAUGUUUCUUAAAAUCUCAGAUGUUGCCUUCAUCCUUUUAUCUUUUGAUUCCAUUAACUUGCCCUGAAACUUCUCUUCCCAUUUCCCCAGUGGAACAUUUGCCAACAUAACAAUUAUAGUUGCAAAGAAAGCUGCAACUGAAGCAAGGCCGACGUUUUUAUACAAGAUUAGCAAGGCUAGAGUAACUUGCACAAUCACCAUCCAUGGUCCAUGCAUAUACCAAAUGAAAUCCCCAAUUCUCUCCGCAUCAACAGACAUAAAAUUAAUGAUCUCCCCAGUAGUAUGGCCCUGCUUUGACUGGCAGGAAAGAGUCAAACCCUUGUUGUAGAUCAUUGUGAUCAUUACUGCUCUGAUCCUAAAACCAACCUGCUGCAAUCUAAAGGAACACUGCCUCAGUGAAAGGCACUCAACAAGCUUCGCAAGAAAAAAGACCAUAACCAAAACAUAGCCUUCAUUUUUGAAUUCCCUCCGCCCAUUGAGAUAUUGAACGAAGGUGUCAAUAAGAUAGGGCCCAACAUAAGAAGCUAAUAUGUCCAGAAGUAGGAAUAAAGCCGUCAAUAGGAUUUCUGCCCAAAAUGCAAAGAUCAAUGCUUUCACAAGCUUAAGCGUGGUCACUCCAUUACUUCCACCACAAUCACACUGGAGCUUAUUUCUAAAUGCUGGAAAGACCGCUACAACGCUGUUGCUGGUAUCAAGCUGAGGAACAUCCCCAAGGUCUAAUGUUUUCUUGUUACCCUCAGCAAUCAAGGGACCGAUCCAAGAGAAAGUAAGAAGGCUAAAAAAACCAGCUUUUGAAAAGGGGGUCACAGUUUCUUCCCCCUUGGAUUCAUCAGACUCUACUAUACUUAUACUGGUGCCACCAUUCAAAAGUGGUUCCCUAAGAAUUGAUUCCUUACCUUGAUUCUUUCCCAAAAACCCGGAAUAGCACAAGAACAGACCAGUUAUGACGUAGACAAUGUCGGGCACCAAAAAUUGAACUUGUAGGGACUGGUCUUUCUUAACAAUGUCUAUAACAAGGCAAUAACAAGAGAUGGAGAAGUAAAAUCCCCACCAAACUCUUAACAAAAACGGGAACUUUGGUUCAACAGAACCAUGGAAUUGAGUGUGCAAAUAUACACAAACUGCUCCCCAGGAAAGUGUUCUGAGCACUAAAUCCAAAAGUGUGACCAGCUUUUCACCAGACCAGCCAUUUCUAUACCAAUAAAAGUAGUUCAAAAAACACAAGAAGAAAUUCAACAGUGACAGACCCUGACAGCAUGCAAACGUUUGCUUAUAGUACAAAAACCUAGUCCUCUUACAAUUUUCAAGAGCACCCCCGUUGAUUCUCUUGCACACCCAUGAUACAAACAGGAGAAGCAACAAAACUAGAUGCAAUGAGGCAGAAAAGGCACGUAAAAAGACUGGGUUUAGCAGAAAACCAAUACCUGGGUACGUAACCAUGGCUUCGAGCCCCACCAUUUUUUGAGAACCUUUGGAUUCCACUAAAAUGGUAUUUUGGAGGUGUGCUCAUGAAUUGGCACUUGACAGUGAAGAUUUUUGGUACUUCAUAUAUGAGAAAUAAGAUGGGAUGUCACUGGUUUUUUAAGAGUGUAUUCCACAUGAGAAAGUCAGUCAAUGGAUACUUCCAAGGGCGCCGGAUAACUUGGCAGCCAUCGAAUGUUGACGGACAUGGCAAAGAAGCUAGGCAGGCACGAAGAGAGAGACAACUUUAAAGACAUAGAGACAAUUUUCUUGCUUCCCUUUUUUUUAUUGAUCAUCUUUUUAGUAGAAUUUUCAUUGCCAAAUAUUUUUAUUUCCAAAAUCCAAAAGAUUUAUGAUUUAUUUUUUUGAUUCACAUUUCAUUCCAACAAACUACUCUAUGGUAUCAUAAAUAUUUGGGAAAUUCCCCGUUAUUAUCUUAUUUUCCAUAAAAAGUUUUAGAAACAAAUUUCAAAUUACCAGGAUGACAAAAAAAAAAAAAAAAAAAAAAACCACACACACAUAAAAGAAAAAGAAAAAUAAUAUUUUUUAUUUAGCAAUUUAAUUUAAUUACCAUUAUUUAGUUAAUUUUAAAUUAGAAUUCAAUUAUGGAAUUUAGUUAAUUCCUUUUUUAUUUCAUAGUAGAACCAUUGAUAUUUUUACAAUCAUAAUUUCUAUUUUUUUUUAAUUCUCUAAGGUUUGUAAACUUUUUUUUUUUUUUCUGAACUAUUAUGCUUUAUGAAGGAUUAUCCCCUUCAUUCCCUCUGAAAAUAGGUAACAUUGACACUGGUUGUGGUUUGAUCAUGAUAUGUUCUCAAGUGGCAAUGAAGCAUGAGGGUUUUGUUGACCCUAGGAGGGUUAAGAUGAUCUCUCAUCAACCUAUAGGCUUGGAAAUGCCUAACUUGUUGAUUGUUAUUGUUGCUUUGAUUUGUUAGGUCAUUUAUACUUGCUUGAAUUGGCUAAAUUUGUCUUUGGCGUCUAGUAAAAAUAUCCAUAUUCUAAACAAGCAUAAAAAGUAAGAAGAUGAAAAGUAAAAACUAGAAAUAAAUAAAAUUCCUAUUAUUAAAGAAAACCAACUAUUUAAAACAAAAAAACUAAAAACUAAUUAGUACGUAAUUAAUUGACUUAGAUAAAACUUGUUACUAAUUCCUUAACAAUGACAUCAUUUUCUUAACCGAAAAUCCCUAAUACAAAUAAAAUACUAAAGCAUAAAUACAUGAUAAAAUUAGUCAAGAAAAAUGAGGGAUAGAGUUAUCACAACUUGUAGUAUUUCAAGUUAUCAUCCUUAGGGAAUCAAAAAAUUUUAACUAAUUUUAUCUAAAAGUAGUGAUUUUUAUUAAAAAAAUGAUUAGAUUGAAAUUAUGAUUUGAUGGAUAAAUUAAGAAAACAAUGAUAAACCAAUCUAAAGAUUUUCACAAAUCCAAUCUCAAACCUAGGAUUGAGGGAUAAUAAAUAAUGAUUAAAGGAUUUUUUGUCUUCGUAGAUUAGACCACAAUAUAGGCCAUCCAAGUUUGGAACCAUGUUUUCAAACUUAAAAUCCAUUCUCUAAUAGUCAUUCAACAAAUAAUUUGAAACAAUGUUUUAUCCUUUAGGACAUUUAAAACCCAAUAUUCAUUUGGUGUACUCUCCUCAGUCAUCAAUUACAUUAACAUAUGAUCACACUAGGUCAACUAUUGAUCAUAAUCCCUUAUGCAUCAAAGGACCCCUAGCAUGUAUCCUAUGUAUCUCUAAUAGGGACGAACUAGCAAAUAAUUAAACUUUUAUACAAAAAUUUAAAGAUUAGAAACUUACUACCAUUAAAAGAUAUCACAUUUUCAUAUCAUCCCUUUGUCUCGAAUUAUUCAUGAUUUAUUGUUACAUCUCCAAUGAGGAAUUUAGCCACUCAUGCUCAGAUUAAUGUCAUACAUUGAAUUAAAUCGAAUCAUGAGAGAUUUUAUUGAAAACUAAAUAAUUAUAAAAGUUGUAUCCAAACUCAAAAGUUUCUCUUCUUCUCUACUCUCUUUGUUCCUAAAGAAAUUUAUGGUAUUUAUAAAAAACUAACGCUACAAACAUAAAUAAAAGUGCUAAAACAUCCAAAGACAGUAAAAGAGCCAAAUAGGGAAAGCCUUGAAGUGAAAUUCUAGAAAUUGUAGUUUGUAGAAAAAAAUUUGAUACCUCCAUAGUGGUAUCAGAUUGCAUUUCGAUAAAUGCCCAAACCUUAUAGACCUUUGGCAUGCUUCCAAUGUGUUAUUGGAUUGAUUACAACAUGUAUCAUAAUGUAUCUUUUUGUAUUGACACCUUAUAUUAAAAUUGUAUCUCAAUGCAUCUUUUCGUAUUGAAAUGUUGCACUUUGUAUCAAAAUUGCAUCUCCUUGUAUCGAAAUUCAUUUUGAUGAACCUUGAAAUUUUUUACAUCUUUGGAAUGCUUUUCCAAGAAAAUUUGGAUGCCUCCACUAUAAUUGAAAUGUUUAUCAAAAUUCAUCUUUCGUAUCGAAAUACAUUUUGAUAAACUCCUGAACUGAACUCACUAGAUCUUUGGAAGGUUGAGGUUGGUGAUUUUUUAUGCCUUCUCAUUGCAUGAAAAUCAAUAUCAAAAUGCAUUUCUUGUAUUGAAAUGGUGUUCUCACAUCAAAUUGUGUAUCACAUAGUAUCAAAAUGCAUUCCAAUAACACCCCAAACUUACUAUGUUCCAAUUGACUCUACUCCUUUGUAUUGAAGUUGUUAGGACAAUGAGUCUUCAUCGUAUGUUGACAAUUUUGUCCCAUUCUUUGAAGAUCCAAGGUUAUUGUUUGUCCAAUUGAAAAGUCACAUGUACGCCCAAAAUGGUUUCACUUGUGGCAAGUUAGGUACACAAAGGGAAUAAAGCAGAUCAAUAUAUUUUUUUAAAGAAUUAAAAAGGUUUGUUAAAGGCAAGUUAGUAUUAUUAGUUUUUUUUUUUAAUAAAGUAAGGUUGGAUUGGAAAUUUUAAAAUUGAGUUAAAAUCUCUUAAUUAAUUUUUGACAACUUUGAAAUUUUAUUUUUAUUAGAAAUUUGAUAUUUUAUUUUUAAGAAAAUUAUUUUCUUAAUUAAUUUUUAGAAAGUUGAUAUUCUUUUUUUUUUUUUAAGAAAACUAUUUUCUUAAUUAAUCUUUAGAAAGUUGAGAUUUAAUUCCAUUUCCAAGUCUCUAAGCUUUUAUGCCUAUAUGUAUAAACCCUUGCUUAACACAUUUUGGGGUUGGACAUUAUUGAGAGAGAUUUGACCUAACUUGCCCUUUCCAAUCUCUCAAGAAAGUUUAAAAGAUUGAAUCUUAGAUUGUUGGAAGACCUAUAUUCCUUCAUUGAGGCUAAGGAGUAUUCAUUAAAGCAAUUGGAGAUUGCUAUGUCAUGUGGAUCAAGUUGUAGCUAUCGAAAAGUAAGUCUUUAGGGUAAAACAACGAUAAAUCUCUGUAAUUUGAUCUCAUAUAAUGGAUUUAGAUUAAGGGUUUUAAACCCCAUGUUUGUUUUAUCUCCAUAAUAGUGUUGGGGUUUUUCAUAUAAAAAUUCUUGUGUCCUAUGCAUGCAUAUUUACUUUCUUUCUUUUUUUCUAAUAUUUUGGAUAUUUUGUUAAUCCCUACUAUCUUAUAGAUUUAAUUAAGUUAAAAACUCUACUCCCUAUUUAAAUUGAGUAAUUAAUUCUUAAUCCUUAUAUUAUAAUUUUUAAUUACACCCAUUCAUCCCUUUGAUGUCACCUUAUCGGACUACAGUUUUUUAGAAGUGAUUUUGAAAUCAACUCUUAUGCAUCAAAAUUCCUCUUUUUCCUUGCAUUCUUCAUUAGAUGUACAUAUUAAUCCUCAAUUUGAGGCUUUGCAAAUAUUUAAGUUACAAGAUAAUGAUUUGCACUCAAAAGUUAUUUAAAAGCCUAUUUUUAUGUAUGGAAAAACAUCAGUUUUGAGUGCUUAUCAACUACUGCAUUUGGGAUUGUAACUGCAGUUUAGUUGUCGUCAUUGUCACGCAAGAUUUUAAGUUGAAGUUUUUGACCGGUGCAACAGGCGUGCUUGCUGGUUCAGAUAUCACCCGCAUUUUCAAGAUUAGAAUGUGACCUCACAGUGUACUCUGCUACAAGCUUUGCAAAAGAUGACGACUUGUUCUCUAGCAAUCUGGUGGGGGUAUCGUAUUCCUCAAUAAGCCCUGCAUCGACAUUUCCAGGGAAAUAAAUCAAGAAGAAUGCAGAUGAAGUUAAGAGUGCCAUUAGUUCAUGUUGAUAGUACUAACCAUGAUCCAGAAGUAGAACCUUGUCACUAUCAAGAACAGAAGUAAUUCGAUGUGCAAUGGUUAUGACUGUGGAAUCGACAAAGUGUUGUCUAAGGGUUUGCUGAAUCAGAUUAUCCGUGGCUGUAUCAACUGAUGCAGUAGCUUCAUCAAGCACUAAGACCUUGCUUUUCUUCAGUAGAACUCUGCCAAGACAAACCAGUUGCCUCUGACCCAUGCUCCAAUUCUCUCCAUUCUCAAUAACUGCCAAAUGCAUGCCAACAUUAGGAGUCUUAUAUGAGGUUACUAUUUAGAUUUUAUGUUAGCAUGGCGGGAGAAAUAACCUGCAGAAUCUAGCUUUCCUUCUUUCUUCCUGACUUCAUCUCCAAGCUGGCACUUAUCCAGAGCCUGAACCAAUAAGUUAGUUAACAACAUUGCAUUUCUACAGUAAUAAGAAAUGCAGCAAAGGAAACUAUAUUUCUACUGUAUUAAGAAAACAUAGUAGAGGAAAACUACAUGUCUACCAUACUUACGUAAAUCAAUAGAAUAAACAAAACCUACCUCCCAAAUCUGUUCAUCUGAGUGCUCUUCAAGUGGGUCAAGGUUGCUCCGUACAGUCCCUUCAAACAUGGUUGGAUCCUGAGGGAUAAUGCUUAGUCUAGUCCGCAAAUCAUUUAGUCCAAUAGAAGAGAUGUUGGUACCAUCUAUCAUAAUCUGACCAGCGGCAGGUUCAACAAUUCGAAAGAGGGUCUGUAUGAGGGUUGAUUUACCACUGCCAGUUCGCCCUACAAUGCCAGUCUUCAUUCCUCCCAGGAAAGUGCAUGUGAGACCUCUCAAUACAAGUGGCAUGUGUGGGGCAUAGCGGACCUACAUCCACACUCACCGUCAUCAAACAUAUGGAAAUUCCUCUGACCAGAGGAAGCCAUGAAUAACCCUCUAGCAUAUAUAUAAAUAGAAAUUACCUGCAAAUCCUGAAUAUCAACUUCUCCAUGUGAAGGCCAAGAACAUGCUAGCCUGUUUUCUUCUGUGACAAGAGGAGGCUCGCUUGGAAUGGAAGUGUAUUGAAGUAUUCUCUCAACUGAUAUAAUUUUAUUCUCCAUAUUGCAAAGAUUCCAUAUUACCCUAGCUUGUAUCAUGUUCAAAUUAAGUCCAUAUGUCAUUGCUAGGCCCGCAAUACCUUUAAUGGAAGUGGAAAAGAGUGUUAGUAAUUCUCCUAUGCCAUUUGCUAUUGAGAGUGACAUGGAUAAUCAGUGAAUAUACCAGAACAGAGAUACUUACCAGGAUCAAUUACUCCCUCUGGAACAGAGAUUAAGAAAACCAAAGAGAAGGCAAAUGUAACAGAAGAUAGCAUAUCCAAGCGGAAGCACAGCCAUUCCAUUGCACCAGCAAUGUUGAACUUGGGCCGUAAAUACCCAUCUACCAAUUUCAUGUUUGUAUCCCUGAAUCUAGAUUCUUGAUCAAAGCUUCUGAUGGUCAUAGAUCCUGCUAUAGUUUCAGAAAAAUGUUGAAUUACUGGAGCUUUGCAUACUCCAGCCAAUCUUGACAGUUCUCGUGCUGAAGGUAUGUAAUAUUGCUGCUUAAUUAUAAUGUUGUAAGAACCUUUUGCUCAUAUAUGAUAUAAAUCUAAGCUUUAAGGGGUAUUGAAAAAAAGGGGGAAAAAUGGUUUUGGAAAUGAUAAAAAAAUAGAAAUACAUUAGUUAAACAUUGCAUCUAAACAGCAAAACCUGCAGUUUAUCUUGCAGCCAAUUUCAUUACUCUUAUCUGAAAAGUGAAUUGGCACUCAAAAACCACCAUAUCAACACUAAAGAAACUUUCAUUCUGAGGCCAUAUUAAUUGGCAUGGCACAUUCAUAUUUGCACCUCCUUAAUAUGCAAUGCUUGUGACUGAGCCCCAGCUCAGCUGGAUCAGAAAGGAACAUGAACAUGCCAUGAAUUGUAAGAGUUAUCCUGAAUUAGGAUUCCAUUUUAAUGCAGUUGGUUUAAAACGAAUCAAAUUUCUCAGUAAGCAAUGCACUACUCCAAUUUUUUUUCUAAGCAACAUUUUGGAGUAAAGCUUAGUUUAUACCCAAAAUGGUUUUGAGCCUACUGGCAUUUUCAUGGACAUAUGAUUGAUAAUCUAAUGUGGAAGAGUACAUGGCAUAUGUAAGCAAAGAAAAUAAAUAAUGUAAUAUGAGAAACAUAAGGUGAUCUCAACUACAGAGCAUGAGAUGUCAUGUGACAAAGCCAUGUGUUGGCAUUAACUAACAAGAAGAGGUCCUAAUAAGUUCACAAUGGUUACCUGAUACCAGAUGCAGGUUGCAAUCACAGGAAUAAAGACAAUGAAAACCUGCCAUGCAACCUGUGACAUAACUGCAAUAAUUCCCAGGAGCUGAAUCAAUUGGAAGGCAAAUGCCCCAACUUGCAUUGGCAUGGUUGUAUCGAUCGUACUUUGGUCUGCAGAAGCCUGUAAAAAAGGGAAGGAUCAAUUAAGUGAUAUUCUAACACUAACUUUGGUAAAUGGGGAAAAAUGCAAGGCAGAAAUAGACAUAUAUUCAUAUUUUCACUUACUCUGUUUAGAAUUCGCCCACUUGGGGUGGCAUCAAAGAAUGACAUUGGGGCACGGAAGACGCACAAAUGCAUUUUAUUGAAGAGUAUAGUAGCUGUCUUGUAACCAGCUGUUACAAGAAGCAUGGCUCUGGAAAGGACGCAAAAAGAACUUCCAACAGCCAAAGCUACAUAAACAAUUAUGAGAGUAGAACCUCUAACUGCAGGUUUCACAUCAUCUGACACGGGACUUGCCCAAGCCAUCCAAUAAUUGCUUCCAAUCUGAAGCAGCUGAAAGAGAAUCUGUGACAACAAUAUAAAGGGCACAAGAGCUCCUCCAUAUGCUGUCCUGAUGUAUUUCCAAUAAACCCAUAGCCCAACUUUACCUUUCUCUCUCUCCUCUUCUUGAACAAGCUGACCUUUUGGUCCAUCUAUCUCCUCUGCUUUACCAUUUUGGCCACCUCUGUUUUCUUCUUUUUCAACUACUUCAGAAGUACCACCAAUAUUAUCACUAUCCUCAAGGAUACUUAAUUUUUCUGAAAGUGACCCUGCCUCUACAGAAUUGAGUGCUAACAAAGCUUUCUUAUGUGCACCAACAAGUUCCAUAAAAUCAGUUCCAGAGUUGAGAAUUUCAUUGUACUUUCCUGCUUGUGUAACCCUUCCAUCUUUCAUGACCUGCAGGUAUGCUACAUUUCUUAAGUUUAUCUAAUGAAAACAAAGGCAAGGAAGAAAAAACAUUGUAAUUACUCACCAGUAUGAGAUCAGCAGCAGGUAAGAACUCUACUUGAUGUGUAACAUAAAUCACUGUUUUCGAACCCGAGAGACCCAGCAAACAUUCCUGUUAUAUGAAGAUUACUUACAAAUACGAUCAAUGAAAGAUUUUUUUUUUUCAUUUAUUAUAUAUAAUAAAAAGGAAAGGAAACAAAACAAAGGGCAAUGGCAUAGCAAGGGUCCCUAAUUACCUCAGCCAGACCAAGAACCAAAUCUUAUAUAGCCCAUAGCAGUGCAUAUUAAAACAUACAAGGAUAGCUCAUUUUCUACUUAAUGCAAUGGCAUUGUAUAGAUAAUAUGUUGUUUUACUUCAUAUAUAUAUAUAUAUAUAGAUCAAACUCAGGCUUUUAUAAGAGAAAAAAAUUACCUUAAAGAGAUGGGUUCCUGUAUGAGCAUCCACGGCACUGAAGGGGUCAUCAAACAGAUAAAUAUCAGCAUUUUGGUAGAGCGCACGUGCAAUCUGUAUUCUUUGCUUCUGGCCACCACUCAUAUUGAUUCCCCACUCACCUAUUACUGUCUGAUCACCAAAUGAGAGAACCUCCAGGUCCUUCUUUAAGGAACAUGCAUCAAGGACCCUUUCAUACCUUUCUCUUUCCAUCUCCUUACCAAACAAGAUGUUCUCUUCUAUCUUGCCACUCUGUAUCCAAGGAGACUGAGCAACAUAGGCCUUUGUUCCACACAGCUUAAGGAUACCAGAUAUCUUAGGCACUUCUCCCAACAUACAAGAUAGUAAGCUUGACUUGCCUGAGCCUACAGUACCACAAACAGCAACCCUCAUGCCACGGCACACCCGCAAAUUAAUAUCCUUCAGUGUUGGAUUAGGGGAAGAUAAAUCCCAAGAGAAAUUCCCAUCCACUAUCUCAAUUGCUGUAUCAGAACUACCUUUUGGAAGCCUCUCGAUAACAUCACUCGGCAGGUCAUCCAGACGAAGAAAGGAUGCAAUUCUGUCAAGGGAAACUUUAGUCUGAGCUAUCAUUGAGAUUAGGUCAGGAAGACUGUAGAUGGGUUCUUGAAGUAUCCUGAAUGUUGCAAGUGAAGAUAAGAUCUUCCCUGAUUCAAGCGGGAUCCCUAGAAGCAUGCAAGUUCCAAAGGUGGCCACAGACACAAAUGUUGGGGCUCCCCAGAAAACAAAAGUGGUCACGGCUGAAGUGUAAAGAUAUUUUUUCAACCACCCUGUCUCAUUCUUCCGAAGGUCUACAAUUUUGGACAAAAACUUCAUCUCCCAUCCCUGAAGCUUGAGAAUCCUCAUGUUUCUUAAGAUCUCGGAUGUUGCCUUCAUCCUUUUAUCUUUUGAUUCCAUCAACUUGUCCUGAAACUUCUCUUGCCAUUUCCCUAGUGGAACAUUUGUCAACAUAACAAUUACAGUUGCAAAGAAAGCUGCAACUGAAGCAAGGCCCAGGUUUUUAUACAAGAUUAGCAAGGCUAAAGUAACUUGCACAAUCACCAUCCAUGGAUCAUGCAUAUACCAACUGAAAUCCCCAAUUCUCUCCGCAUCAACAGACAUAAAAUUAAUGAUCUCCCCAGUAGAAUGACCCUGCUUUGACUGGCAGGAAAGAGUCAAACCCUUGUUGUAGAUCAUUGUGAUCAGUACUGCUCUGAUCCUAAUUCCAACCUGCUGCAAUCUAAAGAACCAGUGCCUCACUGAAAGGCGCUCAACAAGCUUCGCAACAAAAAAAGCCAUAGCCAAAAGAUAGCCUUCAUUUUUGAAUUCCCUCCGCCCAUUGAGAUAUUGAACGAAGGUAUCAAUAAGAUAGGGCCCAACAUAAGAUGCUAAUGUCUUUACAAGUACCAAGAAAGCCGUCAAUAGGAUUUCUGCCCAGCAUGCAAAGAUCAAUGCUUUCACCAGCUUAAGCGUGGUCACUCCACUACUUCCACCACUAUCACACUGGAGCUUAUUACUAAAUGCUGGAAAGACCCCCGCAACGCUGUUGCUGGUAUCAAGCUGAGGAACAUCCUCAAGGUCUAAUGUUUUCUUGUUACCCUCAGCAAUCAAGGGACCGAUCCAAGAGAAAGUAAGAAGGCUAAAAAAACCAGCUUUUGAAAAGGGGGUCACAGUUGCUUCCCCCUUGGAUUUAUUGGACUCCACUCUACUUAUACUGGUACUACCAUUCAAAAGGGGUUCCCUAAGAAUCGAUUCCUCGCCUUGAUUCUUUCCCAAAAACCCCGAGUAGCACAAGAACAGACCAGUUAUGACGUAGACAAUAUCGGGCACCAAAUAUUGAAUUCGUAGGGACUGGUGUUUCUUGACAAUAUCUAGAACAAGGAAAUAACAUGAGAUGGAGAAGUAAAAUCCCCACCAAACUCUUAACAAAAAUGGGAACUUUGGUUCAACAGAACCAAUGAAUUGAGUGUGCAAAUAUACACAGACUGCUCCCCAGGCAAGUGUUCUGAGCACUAAAUCCAAAAGGGUCACCAGCCUUUCAUCAGACCAGCCAUUUCUAUACCAAUAAAAGUAGUUCAAAAAACACAACAACAAAUUCAACAGCGACAGACCCUGACAGCAAGCAAACGUUUGCUUAUAGUACAAAAACCUAGUCCUCUUACAAUUUUCAGGAGCACCCCCCUUGAUUCUCUUGCACACCCAUGAUACAAACAGGAGAAGCAACAAAACUAGAUGCAAUGAGGCAGAAAAUACACGUAAAAAGACGGGGUUUAGCAGAAAACCGGUACCAGGAUACGUAACCAUGGCUUCGAAUCCCACCAUUUUUUGAGAAUCUUUGGCCUCUGCUAAAAGUGUAUUUUGGAGGUGUGCUUAUGAAUCGAAAGGGAUGAUUUCUGGUGCUUUAUAUACGAAAAAUAAGACGGUAUUUCCCCGGUUUUAAGAGUGUAUUCCACAAAGUAAGUCAGUCAAAGGAUAUUUCCUUGGGCGCGGGAUAACUUGGCAGCCAAGCUUCAGUUGACGGAGAUAGUAAAUUUCUAAUGGCUAUGAGAGAACUCGAAUUGGUGAUGGAAAACAAAGAUCAGACCAAUUUAACUAUCCCUCAAGGAUAUAAAUAUUUGAGAAAUUCUUUUCUACUAUCUUAUUUUCAAUAAUAUUUCUUGGAGACAAAUUUCAAACAACCAUGAUAAAAUAAAUAAAUAAAUAAAUAAAAAAGUUUAUUUAGCACUUUAAUUUUAAUUAUUAUUAUUUAUUUAAAUUUAAAUUCAAUUAUGAAAUUUCUUUUCCUUUUAAGUAGAAAAUGAAUUGAAUCCCCCUUUCAUCAUCACAAUGACUAUAUUUAUUAAAAGUCAAAAUUAUAGGAGUCAUAAUUGGCUGUUUAUCUUGUCAUCUUGUGUUUUGCUUCUAAACAACCCGUCAAAAAAUAACCUUAAAAAUAGGCUACACAAAAUGUGGAGAUUCCAAAAUAUUGGUUUUAUAUAUGUAUAUAUUUAUCUUUUUGGGGUAGAGCAUGUUGAUAUCCAUGAAAGACAAAAUACUUUCUGCUCCACCAUCUGGCUGGAAAGUCCCACUUUGGCGGACCACAGGAGGGUCGGGAUUCACAGGAACCACAAAGCCUUGAAAAUUAGGGCCACUCACAUGACUUUAUAUGCAACAAUGACAUAUAACCAAUUCCCUAUUUAUGAUGCCACUGAUUUUCUAGCCACGUGUUUGACUAUUGAAUAAUUAUUGUGGAAUUAUUUUCUUUUGAUGUAUGUAUCGUGUAAGUUUCUAAAAGUUAAAAAUGGGUUCACUUUUAGUGAUUUACACUUAAAAGGAAUUGAAGUUCUGAAAUGUUGGAGAAGAACUUCAAGGGGAAAUUUUAAAAUAAGGAAGUGAUGAUAUGAUUAAGAUAGUUAGGGUAAAGAUUAAAAAUUAGAUUUAUGGUUAAUCAUAAUGUUUUCAAAAUCGGAUCGGUCAUUAAACCGGAAAAGUUACCGGUUCAUGGUUCAUUGGUCGGACCGAUGAUCGAACUACGAUCGAAUUGACGAUUGAGGCGUGAUCGAAUCAGUGAUGUCAUAAAUAUAUAAUUUAUAAAUGAUUAAAAUUUAAAAAAAUUAUAAAAAAAUUAUAUAUUAUUUAAAAAUUUAAAUUUUAUUUAAAAGUCAGAAAAGUAGUUUCAAAUUAGAAAUUUAAAUUAAAACCAUAAUUUUAAUUUAAAAUUUAAAUAAAAAACUUAUUUUAAAAUAAAAAAUUUAUUUAAAAUUGUAAUGUUUUUAAUUUUACCAUCAAAUUAUAUCUCAUACCAUCCAUGUAAAUCCAUAUAAAAGGCAUUUUUUACUUUAUCAAUUUCAGCUCCCAAUCUCCACAACACCGUUGCUUUGAAGACUAAUAAAUAAACAAAAAAAGAAAAAUUUUUAAAAAUUGAAUAUUAAACAUAAUGUCAUAAUAAAAAAACUCAUUAAAAUUAUUAAAUAUAAAACAUAAAAAAUAAUUUUCAAAAUAUCAACUUGCAACUACUAGGCAGAGUCGGAAGACACACACAGUCGGGUUUUCAAGAGAGGCGCUUUGAUUGGGGGAUGGUUCUAACGGGUUUUGCGUCGGGACGACCGAGAGGGCGGGUAGGCGAUGUAACGAUCGAGGAAACCGCCGAUGGGAACUGGUGUAGGUGUUGUAGUGUGUUAGGGGGUAGUAGCUUCUUUACCUUCGGUUCAGAUGGAGAAGGAAGGGUUAAGGUGUUUUUAUGUCACGCCCCAAGACCCAUUCCAAGGGCGUGACGGUCAUUUCACACCUCAAACCUAGAGGGUUAAAGUGUAACUUGACCCAAACAAUUAUCUUGUAACUGAAAGUUACCAAUUACCAAAUACUUGUUCAGAGUAGCGGAAUAAAAUUCUAAAAUCUUCAAAACUUAACUUUAAAACUAAGCAUCCAUCAACCAAAAUCCAUUAUCCAAAUAGAUUGCGAACUCAAACAAUUCAAGUGCUAACAAAAUUUUCAUAAUCUCCAAAUCUCAACUUCAAACUAUCAUAAAAAAAAUUUAAAAGUUCAAUAUCUAAAUAGCUUCCAAAAACCAAAUAAUCCAAAUGAACAUAAACUUAUAAGCUAACAAUGUCCAAAAAUAACAUCCUAAGCAAAAUCCUAAUGAUGACCAUUCCCCAUCCUAGCCAUCACUCCUCGCCCAAACUAAGAGGACCUGAAAAGUAAUCAAUAAAGGGGAAUGAACUCAAAGUCUAAUAAAGAAUAUUAAUACAGUUUCAUGGAUUAAAUAGUUUCAAUCGUGCUUACAAAUAGGAGAUUUAGUGUAAAAUCAUUUUCAUAAAAACGUUUGAGUACAAAUAUACUAAUACAUUUUAAGGUGUUUAACCAAACAUUUUCCAAUAUAUGAAAAUCAUUUUAUAUCCAUUUCAAUUCAAAUACAUUUCAAUUGUUUUCACUCUGGUUAUUAAAUAAAAAAUAGUGCCCAUUUAAGUGGGACUUUACAAAUAGGUGACUAGCCUCAAAUGUUCAUUUUAAGGUGGACGGAAUCAAACACUACUAGUACUAGUAACCUCUAACCAAACCCCUAGAGGCUGGGGUUCAAAUCAAUUACAUUUCUCACCACGAAAAUGUAAAGGUCAACUAUUAUAUCCUAUUAAGAAGGGCCAAAAACUCAACUAUUAUAUCCUAUUGACAAAGGCUAAACAAACCAGAGUCAAAUUCUUUAAUUUAUUUAUUCCAACUUACAAAUGCAAAAAAUCUCCAAGUAUUUCAAUAUAAACAAAAUAAAUGUUAUAACACAUUUUUCCAUACAAAAAUAUAUUUGAUUCAUGCUUAAAAGCAAAAUUAACAAUUACAUAUUUCAAACAACAUAUAUAUAUAUAUAUAUAUAUAUAUAUAUAUAUAUAUAUAUAAUAAUUUUUUUUUACAAAAUCUGUAUUAAUUUCCCUUACCUCAAAAGAAGUGGCCAAAAACUUGGAUGAAAAAUAAUUAUGGAAAAUCUACUCUUCACCUAACAAAGUAUAAGAGAAAUAAUCAUUACUAUUUAUCUAAAAUUAUAGGUUUGACAAUUCUAAAAGUUUAGGUAUUCAAAUUAAUGUUUUUAAUUAUGAAAUAUAAUUUAAUCUAUUCAUAUUUUAGAAAAAUUAAUAAAUUUCAAAUUCAUAUAAAACUUAAAUUUUAUUUUCAACUUAUUUCUUAGGACACAACAUAAUUUAAUUAAACUACAAUUUAUUCUACUAAUUAAAUUUUAUGUUACUUAUUAACUUACACUCAUCAUUAGUAUAAUAAUAUUGAUAACUUACUUUCAGUUUUUUUUUUUUUUUUCACUAAACAUAAAUUGUAUCCCCAACAAUUCUCCAUUAUUGCUAACAUAUAUAUAUAUAUAUUAACCACCAAACACCAUCUAUACACAUCUUCCUUUAUUAUUAAUAUUACUAUAUAUUUUUUCUUUUCACCAUUCUCCAUCUUCCACAAGCACGCAUUCUUAUUUCUUUCUUUCUUUUUUUAAAAAAGAACUUCCUCUAGUGCACAUGUGUUCUCUUUUUUUCUUUUUUUUUUCCUAAUAUCUUCUUAUCCCUUAAGCCACAUAUAACAAUAUAUUUAUUUGCUCAUUUAUUUUUAUAUUGUUUAAAAAAUUGAUUACUUAGAUCUAUUCAUCUAAGAAAUUUUGAAUUUCCCUAUUUUCAUCAAUAGAACAAUCUAAUUCCUAAUUUCAAUAAAAGUUUUAAAUAGGUUAACUCUAACCUAAAUUGAAAUCUUCUAGAGAAUCAUUUUUUUUUUAAACUUAAGAUUUCCCAAUUUCUAACAAUAAAACCACCAAUAAUCCUAAUUUUCCAAUAUUUUGAUAUUAAAACGAAUUAAAAAAAUAAACUAAUCCUAAUCUAAAUUUUAAAAAAAGAUUCAAAGAAUAACUAGCGUGUUCAAAACUAACUAACGAAUAUAAUAUAUUAAUUUAGUGUUAGAAUCUUACCUAGAAAAAAAGCCUGAACUUCAACUCUGAAUCUUUAACCCUUGAGCCCUACGAUCUCCAACUCUUUACUUUUGGUUGAUAGGGUUUUUUGAAUGAAGAAGACAAGAGAAAAAAUCCAACUUAUACCUAGGAUUUUUAAUUGUAAAAGCACUCUUUCACCUUAAUGAAUUUAAUUAAUUACUUAAUUACUUAAUUACUUUAUAAAUUACUAGUUUGCCCCUAUUUUAAAUUUUGGGGUGUUACAUCCUCCUUCCUUAAAAAAGUUUAGUCCUCUAAACUUGACAUACUUGGGUCUUGAAAAAGAUGUGGGUGCUUUUCUCUCAUCUCCUCUUCUAAUUGCCAAGUGGCUUCUCGAAUAUUGUGAUUGCUCCAUUGGAUUUUUACUAACUUGACAACAACAUGACGUAGUAUCUUGUCCAUCACAUCCACAAUCUGAACGGGCACCUCUUCAUAGGUCAAGUCCGCAGAAAUUUGAAUAGGCUCCAACUCCACAACAUAAGAGGGAUCAUAAAUAUAUUUCCUCAAAGUCAAAACAUGAAAUACAUUAUGAAUCUUAGAUAGACUUAGGGGCAAGGCCACUUUAUAAGCCAAAGUGCCUAUUCUUUUUAAUACCUUAAAUGGUCCUACAAAACGAGGACCGAGUUUCCCUUUUAUUUCAAAUCUCAUUAUAGACUUCAUAGGUGAAACUUUCAAGAAAACAUGAUCAUCCCCUCAAACUCCAAAUCUCGUUUGCAAUUAUCAACAUAACUCUUCUGUCUACUUUGUGCUGCUUUCAAUCUUUCUUUAAUUAAAGAGACCUUUUCAACUGUCAACUGCACAAGUUCGUGCCGCAAAAUUUUAUUCUCUCCAACAUCAUCCCAACAAACAGGAGAUCGACAUCUCCUACCAUAUAACGCCUUAAAAGGUGUCAUCCCAAUGCUAGCUUGAAAGUUAUUGUUAUAGGCAAACUCCACUAGGGGCAAAUAAUCAUCCCAAUUACCUUUUAGGUCUAAAGCACAAGAUCUCAACAAAUUUUCCAAGACCUGAAUUACCCUCUCUGAUUGACCAUCAGUUUGCGGAUGAAAAGUAGUACUAAAACUUAACUUAGUACCUAAUGUUUUCUGUAAACUAUGCCAAAAUCUAGAAUUGAAACGAGGAUCUUUGUCAAAUACUAUAGAAACAGGUACACCAUGCAUUCUCACAAUCUUCUUAAUAUAAAGAGAAGCCAAACGAUCCAUAGAAAAAUUGACUUUCAUAGGCACAAAAUGAGCAGACUUUGUCAGUCGAUCCACAAUUAUCCAAAUAGGAUUAUUACCCCCUAAGGUUCUUGGCAACCCUAUUACAAAGUCCAUGGUAAUAUGUUCCCAUUUCCAUUCAGGAAUAGAAAUUGGUUAUAAUGAUCCUGUUGAUUGUUGAUGCUCAAUUUUCACCUAUUGGCACACCAAACACUGAGUCACAAAUCUUGCAAUAUCCCUCUUCAUACUUGGCCACCAAUAAUUUUGCUUCAAAUCUCUAUACAUCUUCGUCUUUCCUGGGUGGAUCGCAAACUUAGAACAAUGAGCUUUCUCCAAUAGCUCUCUUUUUAAAUCUCCAUCAUUUGGGACACAAAGUCUAGUCUCAAAUCUCAAAAUCCCAUCAUCUGAUAAGACAAAGUUAGGCUUAAUACCCCUCUUAACUUCCUUUGUAAGCCGCACUAAUUGCAUAUCAUUCUUUUGUAGGGUCUUAAUUCUCCCAACCAAGUCUAGUUGGACUCUAAAGUUUGCCACAAGAGCUCCCGAGUCCAAAACUCUUAUAUGGACUUGUAAACUCCUCAAAUAUUCCAAUAAUUGCCUCUAACAACCUCUAAUAGCUACUAAGGAACCAAGAGAUUUCUUGCUUAAGGCGUCAGCCACAACAUUCGCCUUCCUUAGGUGAUACUGAAUAAUGCAGUCAUAGUCUUUAAGUAGUUCAAUCCACCUCCUCUGUCUCAUGUUCAAUUCCUUUUGGGAAAAUAAAUACUUCAAACUCUUAUGAUCUGUGAAUAUCUCACAAGUUUCACCAAAAAGAAAAUGUCUCCAGAUCUUAAGUGCAAAAACCAUUGCAGCUAACUCCAAAUCAUGAGUAGGAUAAUUUUGGUCAUAAUGCUUCAAUUGUCUAGAAGCAUAAACUACAACUUUCCCAUGUUGCAUAAGAACACAACCCAAACCCAGACGAGAGGCAUCACUAUACACCACAAUCCCUCCUAAGCCUAAAAGGAUAGUCAAAAUAGGAGUUGUCAUUAAUUUGUUAUUUAACUCUUGGAAACUACGUUCACAAUCAUUAGACCACUCAAACUUAACCCUUUUUUGAGUUAACCUGGUUAGAGGUAGGGUGAUCUUAGAGAACCCUUCAAUAAACUGCCUAUAAUAACCAGCUAGUCCUAAGAAACUUCGAAUUUCGGUCACAGUAUUAUGUCUCCUCCAAUUUGACACAACAUCUACCUUUCCAGGGUCAACAGAGACGCCAUCCUUGGUCACCACAUGCCCAAGGAAAGAGACUUUGUCUAACUAGAACUCACACUUCUUUAGUUUAACAUACAAUUGCUUAUCUCUGAGAGUUUGCAAUACAAUACUCAAAUGGCGCUCAUGCUCCUCCCUACUCUUUGAGUAUACCAAAAUAUCAUCUAUAAAAACCACCACAAACUGAUCUAGAUAGGGCUUGAAUACUCUAUUCAUUAAGUCCAUAAAAGCAACAGGUGCAUUAGUAAAACCAAAAGGCAUAACUAAAAACUCAUAAUGCCCAUAUCUAGUUCAAAAAGCAGUCUUGGGUACAUCUUCACUUCUAACCUUUAACUAAUGAUAACCAAACUGAAGAUUAAUCUUAGAGAACACACAUGCACCCUAAAGUUGAUCAAACAAAUCAUCAAUCCGAUGAAAGGGAUAAUUGUUCCUCAUCGUCACCUUAUUCAACUCUCUAUAAUCAAUACAGAGUCUCAUAGAUCCAUCAUUCUUCUUUACAAAUAAAACAGGAGCUCCCCAAGGUGAAACACUAGGCCUAAUGAAGCCUUUAUCUAACAACUUCUAAAGUUGAAUCUUCAACUCCUUAAGCUCCAUAGGUGUCAUCCUGUAAGGGGUCUUAGAGAUAGGAGUUGUCCUUGGUGCUAAAUCAAUGGUGAAAUCCACCUCCCUCUCUAGUGGCAAGCCAGUUAGAUUCUUUGGAAAGACAUCAAGAUAGUCCCUUACAAUGGGUAUGUCUUCCAACUUUAAAUCAUUUUUCUUAUUCACAACAUAAACCUAAAAGCCUUGACAACCUUUCUUGAGCAAAGAACUAGCUCGCAAGGCUGAGAUCAUAUGCAAUGGUUUGUCCACAUGCUUCCCCUCAAAACAAAAAUCAGCCUGACCAGAAAUGCUAAAUGUCACUCUUUUCCCAAAACAAUCAACAAAUGCAUGGUAUGAAGCUAACCAAUCCAUUCCCAAAAUCACAUCAAAAUCCUCGAGGUCAAAAAGUACUAAGUCAACUAUCAUCUCUCUAUACCCAAUCAUCACACAACAAUCUCUAAGUAUUUUAUUAACCACAACAAAAUCUCCAAAUGAGUAGCAACAAAUAAAUCAAAGUCCAUGUUAUCCAUCAACAUACCUAACAAACCAUCAAAAGAUACAGAAACAAAAAAGUGUGUUGAACCAGGAUCAAUUAAGGCUUUGACAAAUAAGGUAUGAAUUCGAAGAGUGCUUGUUACCACAUCAGAAGUAGCUUGAGCAUCUCUAUGAGUCAUAGCAACCCGCCCUUGAGCCUUGGGCUUCUGUUUAUCCUUUUUAUUCUCCUCCUUAGGCUUCCCAAAUACAAACUUCUUAUUCUUUAGGCAAUCUCAAACCAUAUGUCCCUGUUUUCCACAACCAAAGCAAUCUCCUAUCUCUCUAUAGUAUGGCUUACCCCCAUGUUUCUUGCCACAAGUAGGACAAAUCCCAUCUAAAUUUUAUGCUGCUUUUCUUUUAUUCUGAUUUCCACUUGGAGCAGACUUUUUCUAUGCUUGGUUACCAUGAACACCAUUCUAUUCCUAUUCCUUUGUUGUUCCCUAUACUGGUGAAGCUCUUCAUUAUCCUUCUUUGCAAUAAGGGCUAUAUCUACCACCUAUGAAUAAACUCUAAGCUUCAUAAUUGAUAUCUUAUUCUUCAGAUAAGGCUUCAGUUCAUCUUGAAACUUUAAUGCUUUUUCCUCCUCUAGGCAAUCAACUGUGGGGCAAAACGUGAUAGUUCGGUAAACUUAGCCUCAUACUAGGCCACAAUCAAAUUCCCCUAUUCCAAACGGACAAACUCUCCCACCUUUUGUUGUCGAACACUGUCAGGAAAGUACUUCUUAUAAAAAGCCUCUUUAAACUAACUCCAAACAAUAGGCCCCUGAUCCUCCAAAAGCCUCAUAGUCAUGCGCCAUCAAUGGUCUGCCUCUUUGUCUAACAUAAAUGCUGCAUAAGAUUUGCUCCUCAGAAUAAUUAAUGACAUCAAAGAAUUUCUCUAUCUUCAUAAUCUCAGCCUAUGCCUCUGUUGGAUUUGAAGUACCAGAAAAGUAAGGGAGACCCAACUUCUUAAAGUCAUCAAAGAAGCUACCCCUAGUAGAUGAGGAUUGUCCUUGACCAUUACUUCCAGUAGCUCUAGCCUGACGCUUAACCAAGCUAGCCAAAGUCCCUAAAUAUCUGUAAAGACCUUCAAUACUCAUAGGGGGCAAAGCCUCAAGUGGAGGAGUUAUAUCAUCAUUAGGCUAACUGUUUUGGGAAGAUGCAGGUCUCCUUAGUGGCAUGUUGUCCUAUAAAGCAACAGGUAUAAUUAAAUUAGUCACUAAGAAGCCAAAUAAGCAAAUCAAAAUUGUAAGGAAUAAAAGGAAUCGGACUAGAUGAAGUUGAAACUUAAACUAAUGCAUCACUCAUCUAUUCCCAAAUGUAAACUAAACAAGUUCUCAUUAAGAUCACAACCUGGUGCUCUAAUACCACAUUGUCACGCCCCAAGACCCACUCUAAGGGCGUGACGAUCAUUUCACACCUCAAACCCGAAGGGUUAAAGUGUAACCUUACCCAAACAAUUAUCUUGUAAUUGGAAGUUACCAAUUACCAAAUACCUGUUUAGAGUAGCGGAACAAAAUUCUAAAAUCUUCAAAACUUAACUUUAAAACUAAGCACAUCAACCAAAAUCCAUUAUUCAAAUAAAUUGCAAACUCAAACAAUUCAAGUGCUAACAAAAUUUUCAUAAUCUUCAAAUCUCAACUUCAAACUAUCAUAAAAAAAUUUAAAAGUUCAAUAUCUAAAUAGCUUCCAAAAACCAAAUAAUCCAAAUGAACAUAAACUUAUAAGCUAACAAUGUCCGAAAAUAACAUCCUAAGCAGAAUCCUAAUGAUGACCAUUCCCCAACCUAGCCAUCACUCCUCGCCCGAACUAAGGGUACUUGAAAAGUAAUCAACAAAAUGGAAUGAACUCAAAGCCCAAUAAGGAAUAUUAAUACAGUUUCAUGGAUCAAAUAGUUUCAAUCAUGCUUACAAAUAGGAGAUUUAGUGUAAAAUCAUUUUCAUAAGAACGUUUGAGUACAAAUAUGCUAAUACAUUUUAAGGUGUUUAACCAAACAUUUUCCUAUAAAUCAAAAUCAUUUCAUAUCCAUUUCAAAUUAAAUACAUUUCAAUUGCUUUCACUCUAGUUAUCAAAUAACAAAUAAUGCCCAUUCAAGUGAGACUUUACAAAUAGGUGGCUAGCCUCAAAUGUUCCUUUUAAGGUGGACGGAACCAAACACUACUAGUACUAGUAACCUCUAACCAAACCCCUAGAGGCUAGGGUUCAAAUCAAUUACAUUUUUCACCAUGAAAAUGUAAAGGUCAACUAUUAUGUCCUGUUAACAAGGAUAAAAAAGUCAACUAUUAUAUCCCGUUGACAAGAGCUAAACAAACCAGAGUCAAAUUAUUUAUUUUAUUUAUUCCAACUUACAAAUGUAGAAAAUUCCCAAGUAUUUUGAUAUAAACAAAAUAAAUGUUAUAAAACAUUUUUCCAUACAAAAAUAUAUUUGAUCCAUGCUUAAAAGCAAAAUUAACAAGUACACAUUUCAAACAACAUAUAUAUAUAUAUAUAUAAUUAUUUUCUUUUGCAAAAUCUGUAUUAAUUUCCUUUACCUCAAAAGACGUCCUCAAAAACUUGGAAGAAAAAUAAUUAUGGAAAAUCUACUCUUCACCUAACAAAGUAUAAGAGAAAUAAUCAUUACUAGUUAUCUAAAAUUAUAGGUUUGAAAAUCCUAAAAUUUUAGGUAUUCAAAUUAAUGUUUUUAAUUACGAAAGAUAAUUUAAUCUAUUCCCAUUUUAGAAAAAAUAAUAAAUUUCUAAUUCAUAUAAAACUUAAAUUUUAUUUUCAAUUUAUUUCUUAGGACACAACAUAAUUUAAUUAAACUACAAUUUAUUCUACUAAUUAAAUUUUAUGUUGCCUAUUAACUUACACUCAUCAUUAGUAUAAUAAUAUUGAUAACUUCUAUUCUCUCACUUUCAGUUUAUUUUUUUUUUUCACUAAACAUAAACUGUAUCCCCAACAAUUCUCCAUUAUUGCUAACAUAAUAAUAAUAAUAAUAAUAAUAAUAUAUAUAUAUAUUAACCACCAAACACCAUCCGUACACAUCUUCUUUUAUUAUUAAUAUUACUAUAUUUUCUUUUCUUUUCACCAUUCUCCAUCUUCUACAAGCACGUUUUUUUUUUUAAAAAAAAAAAAAACUUCCUCUAGUGCACACACGUUCUCUUUCUUUUUUUUCCUAAUAUUUUCUAAUCCCUUAAGCCACAUAUAAAAAUAUAUUUAUUUAUUCAUUUAUUAUUAUUUAAAAAAAAAAUUCAUUACUUAGAUCUAUUCAUCUAAGAAAUUUUGAAUUUCCCUAUUUUCAUCAAUAGAAUAAUCUAUAUUUCUAAUUUCAAUAUUUUGACCUAAAAGUUUUAAAUAAGUUAACCCUAGCCUAAAUCGAAAUCUUCCAGAGAAUCAUUUUUUUUUUUUAACUUAAGAUUUCCCAAUUUCUAACAAAAAAACCACCAAUAAUCCUAAAUUUCCAAUAUUUUGAUAUUAAAAUGAAUUAAAAAAAUAAACUAACCCUAAUCUAAGUUAAAUUUUUUUUGAAAGAAUAGCUAGCGUGUUCAGAACUAACUAACAGAUAUAAUAUAUUAAUUUAGGGAUAGAAUCUUACCUGGAAAAAAAACCUAAACUUCAACUCUGAAUCUCUAACCCUUGAGCCCUAUGAUCUCCAAUUCUCUACUUUUGGUUGAUAGGGUUUUAUGAAUGAAGAAGACAAGAGGAAAAGUCCAAUUUAUACCUAGGAUUUUUAAUUGUUAAAGGACUCUUUCACCUUUAAUGAAUUUAAUUAAUUACUUAAUUACUUUAUAAAUUACUAGUUUGCCCCUAUAUUAAAUUUUGGGGUGUUACAUUUUAUAUCCUCCAAAAUGGUGUCAUUUAGAUACUAUAAAUAUUUCAAAAAAAUAAAAAAUUAAUUGAACUGUCUGGUUCGUUGGCCGGACCAUUGGUUCAACCAGUUCGAUUCCGAUUCAACCUAUGUCUGAACCAAUUGACAAGACCGGACUGGAACCGUGACCAGUAGACGGUCAGACUAGCCGAUUCGGUCCAAUUUUUAAAUCCAUGGUUAAUCAUCCAUGGAGGGGUGGUGUUGCAUAAAAUUUGAGUCCACCAUAUCUAGGCAUGCUCAAUCAUAUAAAUUUAUAUAACACUCCACAUCAAGCAUAUUAGGAGAAUGAUAAAAUCAUCACAUCUCAAUCAUCUAUUAUUGAAACUCCUAUAAUGUUGUAAAAUUUAAGAAAAAACAUAUUUUUAAACAUCUUCAAAUAUUGGGUGUAUGUUAUUCUAUUUAUUAUAUGAACAUUUGAGAGACUUUACUGGAAUUUUUAUUUUUUAUUUUUACUAUGAAUAUCAUAUUUAUUUGUGUAAAACUUUUGAUUUAAAUAUUUGUUUUAACUUGAGAAUUUAAACUCUUCAACAAAGGUAAUCUCAUUUAGCUUUCUAUUUAUUGUAGCCUUGCAACUAAUAUCUAGUUUCAAGUUGAAAUUUUUGUUAAGAGAGAAUUCUAGGCUACUGACCGAAAUUUCUCUAUUGUACCAAAAUACUUAGCCUUUUUACGUAGUAACUCUGGUCAAGAAGAACUAGAGAAAGAGUCACUACGACUUUUGUAGUAUUCUGGGUAUCGUUCUCAAGGACUGGCUUAUGAAAAUUGUCAAUACUAGAAUAAAUGAAUUGUUUUGGUUUAAAUCCUUAAGUGAAAAACAAUAUGUGAAUAAUGUGAAACUAAGUAAAAAAAGUUAAAUUAAUAAGAAAAAAAUGAAUAUUGAUUUUAAAUUCAAUUGAUUCAAGUUUGGGGUUUUCCACAAUCCAACCUAGGGUAUAGAAAUUAGAGAAAACAAGGGUAUUUUAAGUAAUAUGAUCUUAGGGUUUUGGGAUCCUUGGCCACUCGCGAUCAAGUUGAGUUCUAUAACUCAAAAUUGCAUCCGAAACCUAAUUUUUCCUUUUUAAAACAGAUUCCUAAAACCAUCAAAUGAAUGAGAUUGAUUAUCAAUUUAAGAUUUGGCUUUUUAACCAUUCCUACUCCUUAUAGCUUUGUUUAGGGGCAAAUAACGGUAGGUAAGAUGAGGAUAACUAAUGAUCAAGAAUUACCAAGAAUCACUAGUAUCAACUAAUAACCUACCGUAUCAUUCCCUAAACGAACUCACAAGGAUAGGAUAAAAAAAAAUGAUAAAUUGUCACUCAACCAAUAAUUAAUCUCAUUGUUAUAAUAAUUUACCCAUUGUCCCUAUAGGUUUCCUAGCCCUUAGGUUUUCAUGCUUCAAGCCCCAAGUUGGCUCUUAGCCUCUCAUGGGGGUGAUGUCACAUUCACAAUCCAUAAUAGGGUAAAAAUCCAUAAUUUGAAUCAAAAGAAACUAAAAACAAUAUAUUCAAUAAAGGAGAAAAAGAAAACAAACCAAAGUUCUCGUCUUCUUCUUCCUUCAAUGUCCAACUCUCCAGAAAAAAAUCCAAGAUUCCUAAAACCUAGAAUUGAGAGAGUUUAUAUAAUAUCCUUAAUUACUUAACAUGUGGCACACUCUCAUUGGCCACUUAUUACAAAAUAAUUUCCUAAAAAUGAUUAAAAAAAUAAUAAAAUGGUGAUUUCUAGUCGUGUGGGGUCCACCUAGGGCGGAUGGAGUUCUUUAGAUGCAAUUCCCGAGGUAGAGGAGGCGGAACAGCAAAGUGGUAGUGGGUGAAUUCGAAAUUGGUGUCAUUUCGAAGUGGAUUUCGAAUUCAUAAGUUGAAUAGAUGCAAUUCCCGGGGUAGAGGAGGCGGAACAUCAAAGUGGCAGUGGGUGAAUUCGAAGUGGAUUUCGAAUUCAUAAGUUGAAUUUCGAAAUCAUAAGUUGAGUUUCGAAAUCAUUUCGAAAUGACCCUCUAGUUUGGUGCAGUUGUCUUCAAAUGGCCAUAACUUCUUCAUUUCAGCUCCGAUUUGCAAACCGUUUGAAGCGUUGGACUGCUGACUUCCCAAGCUUCGAAAAGAUAUAUAGUAUGUAUAUAAUGGACUUCAGAAAGUGCUCCAAAUUUGUCCUCAAAGUUAGAGUAUAUAAUGUCAUAAGAUUUUUGAGUUCUAAAUUUUCAUGCAGCUAAAUCUUGCUUCAUGCCUCAUUUCCCACGCUUUCUUGCCUUCUUUCUUACUCCAUAAUGGUCAUUUAUCAUCUUCCAACCUCAUGAUAUCCUUGUUUUGCCUUUCUUUACGUUCAAUGAGUCUUGACUCACUUAUUUCCUCAUUUAGCCCUUUUUUGAUCUUUCAAAAUCUAAAGUCAUUCAAUUUGCACAAUUUUCUUCCCUUGAACCUGAGAUAAGUCUCCAAAGUACAAAUUAAACUCAUGGUUAGGGCCUUAGCAUUGAUUUAGGUCAAGUUGGGUGAUUUGAAUGUCCUUUGGUGUACAAAUCAUAUCAAAUAUGUACCAUUAGAGCACAUAUUUUGGCUCCAAUCAUUCCCCUCAACCUAAACUUUGCUAGUCCCUAGCAAAUGAAAAGAGUAAAAAAGAAUGAAAAAUAUGUAAUGAGAUUCAUUAAACCAUAUUAACUCAACAUAACAUGUUUCACACACAAGAUACCCAAGUAGACAAAUUUCCUAGAAUUGAGCAAGAUGACACAAGAUAUGCAAUUUCUUAGUUUUCUCACCUUAUCUUCAUAUACAUAAAUGUGCAUCCAUGUUUAGCAUUCCCCUUAGUGCCUCUUGAUUUUCCCUUGAUUGGUUCUUUCCACCUAAACCUCAUGUGCUUAAUUUUGGUGUCCCCUCAUAGAAUUUUUCUUAAGACUUUUUCUUAAACUCAAAUUUCAUCAUUCUUUAAGUUAAAGAGGAGGAAAAUUUAUUUUGAUUUUUCUUUCUUAGUUUAGGGAAUCUCCUUCUAUAUGGCUUAAUAGGGAUCCACCGGCAACUCCCGAGUUUUCACCCAAGGUACUAGGUAUUGAUUUGAUGCAACUCAUGGUACCUUAGCUUUAAAGGCGUAUCAACAAAAUUUAUACCUUGAAUACUAUUACUAAAGUAGCCAAGCUACUAUAGCAUAGUGGUUCUAGGAUCGUUCACUGGGAAGGGUUUUCGCAAACACUAGUGAUAUUCAAAUUAGGAAAAUAGGUGAUUUUCUUAUGGAUGUUAGCUUUAAAAGAAGAUGUAAAUGUUUUAGAAAGAUUUAAACUAAUCUAAGCUAACAUUAAAGACUAAAAUGAAAGGGUGUAAAAACAAGUUUCUCAAAGAUAGGAUAGCUAUGCUCUGGUUCUUAUGCAAAUUGGAAAUCUCAGGAUAGGCUCCUCGCGUUGGGGUUGCAACUAUGGUGAUGCUUGCUUCCCGAACUGGUAUGGAUUUAGCAAAUCAAGUUUUAAUCCUUUAAAAUGACAAAACAGAUGGUAGUGAAUUUCAUCAAUGGUUAUUCACCUUAGACUUCCUUUGAAUGGCUCGUAAGAGAUAACUAAUGGUCUAAAGCCAAAAGCUUACCAAAUAUUGGCAACUCAAAGUCAUUCCAGGUGAUAAACUCACCUUUCAAUGGCCAUUGAAAUUGGUUCUAACGGAUUAAUGCAAAACUUGGAAUUGAAAACCUCACCUUCCAAUAGCUCGUAGGAGAUAACUAAUGGAUAGAAAUCCAAAAGCUUAUCAAGUAUUGGCCGUUGGAAGUUGUCCAAAGGAAAUAAAAACCAAACUUUGCAUUAAUGAACCUUUAAUGAAAAACGUCUACCUUACCUUCCGGGUGCGAGAAAUUUCCAUGGGAUUGCAUCCAAGCCAUCACAUAACAUCCAUACUUUGAGAAACUAAAAGUUUUAGCCAAUCAUCCUCUGAGGAAAAGCCCUCAGAGGCUGUUUGGCUUCCAAGAAAAUAAAAUAGUAAAGAGAAAAGAGAGACGAGACGAGAGAGCUCUGUAUAUAUUCUAAGUGUAAAACGUAACCUAUGUUCUAUAUAUUCCAAGAGGUGAUUUCCACCCCUUAUAUAGUCUUUACAAAAGCAAAAGCUUGUGAUUGGUUAGUUACAAGGAUAAGAAAGGAAAUUAAAUUAGAAAAUACAAAGGAAAAUAUCUAAAGUGGAGUCGGCAAAAGCAGAGGAAAAUUCGCAACACGCAUGGGUUAUGCGAAUUUUGAAGGUGUUAUGCGAAAUUUUCGCAUAACUUGGAGCAGUUGGCUUCCGAAGGCCAUAUCUUCCUCAUUUCAACUCCAAAUCAUGCAUGGUUUGAAGCGUUGGAUUCUUGACUUCCAGAGAUUUGAAAUGGUAUACAGUAUGUAAAAAAUGGACUUCGGGAAGUGCUCCAAAAGUUCUAAAGAAGACUACAGCUGCUGUCCUCUUUGCUUCUCUUCACUUUGCUUGCUUUUCCUCUUUUCCAUUGUUCUUUCCUUGCAUACUUUGAACGACUUUGGCAAAGGGCUAUGGAGCUCCAAAGCUUGGUUCUUCAUGAAUUUGAGCUUCCAAAAUCUUUGCCAUAACUUGUCCAAGUAGCUCCUCCAUCAUUUGGCAUGCUUGAAUUGAUUCAUAAGCUGAUAAAAACAUGUAAACUUGCCACAAAAUGGUUAAAACCAAUUACUAAGGACCUUAAUGGAUUAAUUGGGUUAAAUGAAUAUGAUUACUACUCAAAGGUGCUUAAAACCAUUAUAAUUAGGUCUACAAAAUAGCACUUUUUGGUAGUAAUCACAGGUAUUGAGGACCUUUAUAGGCCACUUACCCCUCAGGUAUCACCCUAGCUCAAGGUAGAACAAGGUCGAAUUUCCCAAACAUUUUUUUUUCUUUUUUCAUUUAUCUGUUUUUUUUUUUUCAAAACUGAGUUUAGCUUAUGUAAAGAGCAAGAUACCGAUGACUCCUAACCAGUUGGUUUCGGGCACUAGGGUUUGAAGACAGAAGGCCAUUACCCCCUCAGAUAAUUGCUCAAGCUUAAAUCAGUCAUUUUCAAUUUUUUUUUUCAUUUCCUCAUUUUAUUGCUUAAGAACAACUCUUUUUAAGCUAAAGAAAUUAUCUUAAUCAAGAUACCAUAAGGGUACACGUGCUUUGUGUGUGCUUUGAGUCUUAAAUAGAAAAUAACCAUCAAAGAAAAAUUGAAGGUAUUAUAAGGAUUCAACCUAACUAUUUUUGCACUUAAAGAUAUAUAAAGAUAAGGUAAGUGAACUAAUACUCUUUCUCUAACUGCAUUUUUUCUCAAAUUCUAAAGAAAUAAUACUACUUAAAGCAUUCUCAUGCCAAAUAAACCAUGAGUUACCAAGGCAAAUCAAGAAUCUCAUUAGCUAACCAAAGAUGACAUGCAAACUUUUGAAAAAAAUUAGGGCUAAUAGGCUAAGAGGCCUUCCCCCCUCAAUCUAAAUUACACAUUGUCCCCAAUGUGUAGGAUAAUGGGUCAAAAGAAAGGAAAAAUGAAUAUGUUAGCUCAAGAUCAUCAAGUGAGAAGUUUGUUAUGAGGACUUCAUAUAAACUGUAGGAGCUUUGUCACCUUGAACACAUGUGAGGCUUACCUUUUCACUCCCUUGAAGUUCGCAUUUACCUAUAUCACUCGGAUGUUUGCAAGCUAAGUUGCUACAACUCAUAAACUCAUUAGUAAGUUAAAAACAACUAAAAAUAAAUAAAAAAUAAAAAAUAAAAUAAAAAAUGCUAACCAUAUUGCUAAUGACUAAUUGAAAAUGCAAAACUAAAUAAAGAAAAAUAAAUAAAUAAAAUAAAACAAAAUAAAAGUUUUACCUACUGGAUUUUCAGAAAAUGCUUCAACAUUUUUUAACAUCCCCAUCAAGAAAAUGGAGAUUCUCCUCUUGUGUCUCAAAUCUUUUAAUGAAAUGCUUUAGGCGCUGACCAUUAACUUUGAAUUCAUUACCUGUCCUCGGAUUUUGAAUGGUCACGGUGCCAUAAGGGAAGACUUCCUUUACCACAUAAGGGCCAUUCCACCUUGACCUAAGCUUUCCUGGAAAAAUGUGAAGCUUGGAGUCGUACAACAACACCUUUUCACCUUGCUUGAACUCCCUUCGUAAAAUAAGCUUGUCAUGGUAGAAUUUGUGUUUUUCCCUUGCAUUAUGUAGGCAUUUAUAACUCUCAUUUCGAUAUGCCUCAAGUUAACUCAAAUCAUAUUUCCUUUUAGCUCCAGCUUGAUCCGAAUCAAAGUUCAUCUUCUUUAUAGCCCAAUAUGCAUGAUGUUCGAGUUCUACAGGCAAAUGACAUGCUUUACCAUAAACAAUUCGGUACGGUGACAUGCCAAGGACAGUCUUAUAGGCUAUCCUAUAUGCCCAAAGUGCAUCACUCAACUUGGUAGACCAAUCUUUUCUUAUAGUAUUGACUACUUUGGUGAGGAUUCUCUUAAUUUCCCGAUUUGCUAGCUCAACUUGCCCAUUCGUUUGAGGGUGAUAUGGGGUGGACACUUUAUGCCUCACUCCAUAUUUCUACAAAAGAAUGGAAAAGGGAUUAUUACAAAAGUGUGAACCUCCAUCACUAAUGAUUGCUCUCGGAAUGCCAAACCUAGAGAAAAUAUUUUCCUUUAAAAAUUUGAGCACCACUUUGUGAUCAUUGCUCUUGCAUGCCACUGCUUCUACCCAUUUAGAGACAUAAUCCACUCCCACCAAAAUAUAUAGAUUACCAAAAGAAGGAGGGAAUGGUCCCAUAAAGUCCAGGCCCCAACAAUCAAAGACCUCAACAACACAAAUAUGAUUUUGAGGCAUUUGAUACCUUGUGUUGAUUUUCCCCAGUUGUUGACAUUGUGGACAACUUUUGCAGUGAGUGUUACAAUCCUUGAACAUAGUUGGCCAAUAGAAUCCACUCUAUAGAAUUUUUGCUGAAGUCUUCCUUGAAGCAAAAUAACCUCCACAAGCUCUUUCAUGACACAUUCGCAAUAUGUCUUGUUGUUCAUCCUCUGGAACACAUCUCCGCAUAAUUUGAUAUGGGAAAAACUUAUACAAAUACGGAUCAUCCCAAGCAUUGUGUUUUGCCCGUGAAAGAAAAUACUUCUUUUUUCCAUGUUCCAUUCUGAUGGAAGCUCUCCGGUUGCCAAGUAAUUGACUAUAUUUGCGAACCAAAGCAACUUCUCCACUGCACAAAGUGCAUCAUCAGGAAACUCAUCAUUAAUUUGUGCUUCCUCGAAAUGUGACUCUACUUUAACUCUAGAAAGAUGAUCAGCAACCACAUUCUCUACCUCUUGCUUAUCCUUGAUUUGAAUGUUAAAUUCUUGAAGGAGAAGGAUCCACCUGAUAAGUCUUGCUUUGGCAUCCUUUUUGUUGAGUAGAUAUUUCAAGGCUGAAUGAUCAGUAAAAAUUACUAUUGAAGUUCCCAAAAGGUAGUUCCUGAAUUUAUCAAGAGCGAACACCACUGCAAGGAGCUCCUUUUCGGUAGUUGUGUAGUUCUUCUAAGCAUCAUUGAGGGUUUUACUAGCAUAGUACACCACAUAUGGUUUUCCAUCCUCCCUUUGACCUAGUACAGCUCCCACUGCAUAGUCACUAGCAUCGCACAUCAACUCAAAUGGGAGAGACCAAUUGGGAGAUCUUACAAUUGGUGCAGUAGUGAGGAGUGACUUUAGUCUCUUGAAAGCUUCUUGGCAUGCUUUAGUCCAUAUGAAUUCUGCAUCCUUAAGUAGUAAAGCACAAAGAGGUUGAACGAUUUUUGAGAAGUCUUGUAUGAACCUUCUAUAAAAACCUGCAUGUCCCAAAAAUUAUCUUACCUUUUUAACAGUAGUAGGCGAAGGUAGCUUUGAGAUGAGCUCAAUUUUUGCUGGAUCUACCUGAAUGCCCUAUUUAGAGAUGAUAUGACCAAGUACUACCCCUGAGGUUGCCAUGAAGUGACACUUCUCCCAAUUUAGAACCAAAUCCUUCUCAAUGCACCUUUUCAAAACUUUUUUCAAAUUUAAGAGACAAUCAUCAAAGGUCUUCCCAUAAACAGUUAGAUCAUCCAUGAAAACUUCCAUGAUUAUCUCUACCAUGUCACUGAAAAUACUAAGCAUACACCUUUGAAAUGUGGCCGGUGCAUUACAAAGACCAAAAGACAUGCGCCUAUAAGCAUAAGUGCCAAAUGGGCAUGUGAAUGUGGUUUUCUCCUGAUCCUCCAAUGCAAUGGCAAUUUGAAAAUAGCCUGAAUAGCCAUCCAAGAAGCAAUAAUAGUCAUGACCAACUACCCUCUCCAAAACCUGAUCUAAGAAAGGUAAUGGAAAAUGAUCUUUCUUGGUGACUGCAUUCAACUUUCUAAAAUCAAUGCAUACUCGCCAACCUGUAGUCAACCUUGUAGGAAUGAGCUCUCCUUCAUCAUUGUUCAUCACAGUUAUCCCGCUUUUCUUAGGUACUACUUGAGUGGGGCUCACCCAACUACUGUCAGAGAUAGGAUAAAUAAUACCUGCAUCUAAAAGCUUCAAUACCUCAUUUCUGACUACAUCUUGCAUAAGGGGAUUUAGCCUUCUUUGUGGCUGCCUUACUAGUUUUGCAUUCUCUUCCAAAUAAAUAUGAUGCGUGCAAAUCAAGAGAUUUAUCCCUUUCAAAUCUGAAAUGGACCAACCAAUCGCUCUUUUAUUCUCUUUAAGCACCUUCAAAAGUUUCAUUUCUUUCUCUUCAGUUAAUGUAGCUGAAAUUACCACAGGUUUUUCUUCAUUUUUUUCUAAAUAAACAUACUUUAAACCAUGUGGCAGGGGCUUUAACUCUGGUUUGCUGAUCUCAACCUCUUCCUUUUUGCUUUCUUCAUCAUUCUCAACACUAUUCAAAGAUUGAAUCGUAUAUUUUUCUUUCCAUUCUGUAGCAACUUGAACACAUUCUUCCUUAACGAUUGUAGAGAAAAAUUCAUCUAUAUUUUCUUCUAUUAACUUUUCUGUGUGUUCUUGCAUUAAAGCCUCUAUAAGGCAUGCUUUCUCAUUUUCCACAUCAUCAUGGUCCAUUGGUUGCUUGCAUAAAUUUAAGACAUUCAUUUCCAUUGUCAUGUUCCCAAAAGAUAAUUGCAUCAAUCCAUUUCGACAGUUAAUGAGAGCAUUGGUUGUAGCAAGGAAGGGUCUCCCAAGAAUAAUUGGAACAGAAUUCAUACCCUUUUUCAAUGGUUCUGUAUUUAACACCACAAAGUCCACUGGGUAGUAGAACUUUUCAACUUGCACCAAAACACCUUCGACUACUCCUCUAGGUACUUUAAUUGAACGGUUUGCUAAAGAGAGUGUAAUGGUAGUAGCCUUAAGCUCUCCCAAUCCCAAUUGCUUAUAGAUUGAAUAUGGAAGCAAAUUCACACUAGCUCCCAAAUCUAACAAAGCCCUUUCCACGAAUGAAUCUCUAAUCUGGACUGAGAUGGUAGGACAACCUGGAUCUUUGUACUUCACCAUUGCCUUAUUCUCAAUGAUGGCACUGACUUGCUCGGUGAGGAAUGGUUUCUUGCUUAAUUUAAUCAUUCUCUUCACAGUGCAUAAAUCUUUGAGGAACUUUGCAUAAACAAGAACUUGCUUGAUCAUAUCAAGGAGUGGAAUGUUGAUCUUCACUUGCUUCAAAACUUCCAAAAUCUCUAAAGUCUUAUCCCCCACUUUGUAUCUCUGCAUAGCUGAAAGGAAAGGCAAAUGAUUGGAAACACUCAUUUUAUUUUUGCUCACAAUGACUUCCUCAUAUUUUUCAGACACUUUCUCAUUUCUAACAUUUUUCUCCACAGUUGGUUCAUCUCUAGCAGGAAUAUCUUCUUCACUUACACGUAACUUGGGCCCUUUGUAUUCUUUCCCAUUUCUGAGUGUGAUAACGACAUUGCAAUCUUCCUUUUGCACUUUAGAAACUUCAUUUACUCCUCUUGGAUUUUUCUAUGGUUGAGCUAGGAAUUUUCCUUUCUCUUGAGAUAAACUUACAGCAAGUUGGCUCAAAGUGGUUCGAAUAUCUACUAGUUCUUGAGAUGUUUGAGCAUUUAUCCUAUUUUGAUAUUUAUUACGCUUGUCUUGCUUCUAUAUAAACUCUCUCAUCAUGUCUUCCAGGCUUGAGUUAGAUGAUGAGGUUUGAUGUUGCUAUUGAAAAUUAUGAGAUGGCAUACCUUGUGGUUGAAAACCUUGCUGCCCAUUAGUCUGAUUACCCUGAAAUCGGUUUCCUUGCUGUUGAAAUUGGCCAUUGUUACCUCUCCCCUCCAUGAUAGAUUUGGAUGAUUCCUUCAACCCGGAUUAUAAGUGUUGGAAUAUGGAGAAUUGCUAGAAUAUUGCUUGUAUGUCCCUAAGGCAUUGGCUUGCUCCAUAAACAUAUCUUGCACUGCAGGUAGAGUGGGACAAGAUUGCACACCAUGUUCCGUAGACUUACAUAUCAAGCACAAUUGAGUUACCCCAUUGACUAUUUGCACCUCUUGAACUCCCUUAGCUUCCAAAUCAUCCAACUUUCUCAUAACGAUUGCUAAUUUUUCUUGGACAUCUAAACCCUCUGGUAAGGUAUACACUCCACUAGCUCUUACUCUGUUCAUUGUUCUAUCUCUAGAUGGUUCCUUGACGAUUGGUUCAUCCCAACUUCUAGAUACCUUAGCAACAUAAUCAAGGAAUUGAAAUGCUUCAUCGGGGUUUUUAUUCAUGAAAUCUCAUCCACACAUAGUCUCGAGAAGUUGUUUCAUUGGUGGUGCCAUGCCUUCAUAGAAAUACGAAAAUAGCAUCCAGUUGUCAAAUCCGUGAUGGGGGCAAGCUGCAACAAUCUCCCUGAAUCUUUCCCAACAUGCAAAAAAUUUCUCAUCCUCCAUAGCCUUGAAAUUCGAGAUCUCCUUUUUCAAUGCACUGGUUCUAUGUGUUGGAAAGAAUUUCUACAAAAACACUGAUUGUAGAUCACCCCAAUUUCUGAUACUAUAAGGUCUAAGACUAUUUAACCAAGUCUUAGCUUUAUCCUUCAAUGACAAGGGGAACAGCUUCAUGCGAAAGAUCUCCAAAGGAGUGUUGGCUUCUCGAAAAAUUGAAACGAUGUCCUCAAAUUCCUUGAUGUGAGAGUAUGGAUUUUCAUUUUAUGUCCCCCUAAAAAUGGGUAGUUGAGACACCACUUGAGGCCGAAUGGUAACAUGAUUAUGAUUUGGAGGUAGCAUAAAACACGAUGGUGUGCUCAACCUGGGAGGAUUUAGAAGCUCUUUCAUAGUUCUUUGGCCCUGCACAGGUGGUCGUGGCCUAUUGUUAUUACUGUUGAAUUCUUCAGUGUCCUCCAUAUUUGGUUGAGAUUCCUUAGUUGUUCUUUGAAGUCUACCUGAAAGAUCUCUUUCCCAACCAAGCAUAAAAUAGAAGAAAAAUAUGUAUAAAGAUAAAAAAUAAAUAAAAGAACUAAAACAAAGUAAUGCACUAUAUCCUAGUUAUGACGAUUGCCAAUCCCCGGCAGCGGCGCCAUUUUCUUGACCAAAAUUUCUCUAUUGUACCAAAAUACUUAGCCUUUUUACGUAGUAACUCUAGUCAAGAAGAACUAGAGAAAGAGUCACUACAACUUUUGUAGUAUUCCGGGUAUCGUUCUCAAGGACUGGCUUAUGAAAAUUGUCAAUACUAGAAUAAAUGAAUUGUUUUUUGUUAAAUCCUUAAGUGAANNNNNNNNNNNNNNNNNNNNNNNNNNNNNNNNNNNNNNNNNNNNNNNNNNNNNNNNNNNNNNNNNNNNNNNNNNNNNNNNNNNNNNNNNNNNNNNNNNNNUAUGUGAAUAAUGUGAAACUAAGUAAAAGAAGUUAAAUUAAUAAGAAAAAAAUGAAUAUUGAUUUUAAAUUCAAUUGAUUCAAGUUUGGGGUUUUCCACAAUCCAACCUAGGGUAUAGAAAUUAGAGAAAACAAAGGUAUUUUAAGUAAUAUGAUCUUAGGGUUUUGGGAUCCUUUGCCACUCGCGAUCAAGUUGAGUUCUAUAACUCAAAAUUGCAUUCGAAACCUAAUUUUUCCUUUUUAAAACAGAUUCCUAAAACCAUCAAAUGAAUGAGAUUGAUUAUCAAUUUAAGAUUUGGCUUUUUAACCAUUCCUACUCCUUAUAGCUUUGUUUAGGGGCAAAUAAUGGUAGGUAAGAUGAGGAUAACUAAUGAUCAAUAAUUACCAAGAAUCACUAGUAUCAACUAAUAACCUACCGUAUCAUUCCCUAAACGAACUCACAAGGAUAGGAUAAAAAAAUAUGAUAAAUUGUCACUCAACCAAUAAUUAAUCUCAUUGUUAUAAUAAUUUACCCAUUGUCCCUAUAGGUUUCCUAGCCCUUAGGUUUUCAUGCUUCAAGCCCCAAGUUGGCUCUUAGCCUCUCAUGGGGGUGAUGUCACAUUCACAAUCCAUAAUAAGGUAAAAAUCCAUAAUUUGAAUCAAAAGAAACUAAAAACAAUAUAUUCAAUAAAGAAGAAAAAGAAAACAAAUCAAAGUUCUCGUCUUCUUCUUCCUUCAAUGUCCAACUCUCCAGAAAAAAAUCCAAGAUUCCUAAAACCUAGAAUUGAGAGAGUUUAUAUAAUAUCCUCAAUUACCUAACAUGUGGCACACUCUCAUUGGCCACUUAUUACAAAAUAAUUUCCUAAAAAUGAUUAAAAAAUAAUAAAAUGGUGAUUUCUAGUCGUGUGGGGUCCACCUAGGGCAGAUGGAGUGCUUUAGAUGCAAUUCCCGAGGUAAAGGAGGCGGACCAUCAAAGUGGCAGUGGGUGAAUUCGAAAUUGGUGUCAUUUCGAAGUGGAUUUUGAAUUCAUAAGUUGAAUAGAUGCAAUUCCCGGGGUAGAGGAGGUGGAACAUCAAAGUGGCAGUGGGUGAAUUCAAAAUUGGUGUCAUUUCGAAGUGGAUUUCGAAUUCAUAAGUUGAAUUUCGAAAUACUAAGUUGAAUUUCGAAAUCAUUUCGAAAUGACCCUCUAGCUUGGUGCAGUUGUCUUCAAAUGGCCAUAACUUCUUCAUUUCAGCUCUAAUUUGCAAACUGUUUGAAGCGUUGGACUCUUGACUUCUCGAGCUUCGAAACGAUAUAUAGUAUGUAUAUAAUGGACUCCAGAAAGUGCUCCAAAUUUGUCCUCAAAGUCAUAGUAUAUAAUGUCAUCAGAUUUUUGAGUUCUAAAUUUUCAUGCAGCUAAAUCUUGCUUCAUGCCUCAUUUCCCACGCUUUCUUGCCUUCUUUCUUACUCCAUAAUGGUCAUUUAUCAUCUUCCAACCUCAUGAUAUCCUUGUUUUGCCUUUCCUUACAUUCAAUGAGUCUUGACUCACUUAUUUCCUCAUUUAGCCAUUUCUUGAUCUUUCAAAAUCUAAAGUCAUUCAAUUUGCACAAUUUUCUUCCCUUGAACCUGAGAUAAGUCUCCAAAGUACAGAUUAAACUCAUGGUUAGGGCCUUAGCCUUGAUUUAGGUCAAGUUGAGUGAUUUGAAUGUCCUUUGGUGUACAAAUCAUAUCGAAUAUGUGCCAUUAGAGCACAUAUUUUGGCUCCAAUCAGCUACAACCAAUGUUUGAAAUAUCGGUAAAUAUGGAUAUAUUGGUACUUGGAUUUUACGAAUAUAUAAGAAAUAUCGGAGAAAUAUCGAUGAAUAUUUUGAUAAAAAUUAUCUAUGGACAAAAAUUAUUCAAAAUUCAUGGGAAUUCUUUAAAAAACACAAAAAAAUAAAAUAGAAAAUAAAAAAUGAUAAAAUAAGUAAGAAUACACAUGUUAAAGUUAUUUUGUAAGUGUAAUUGACAUAACUACGAUUAAAGAUAAUAUUUAUCAAUUUUUUAUAAAAAAAAAGCUUAAAAAUUCCUUUAAUAUAUUUAUAUUAAUUUAUUUUAAAAUUUUAAAAAUACUUUUAUUAAAACAUGUUUUAUUAUAUUUUAAAUAAAAAAUUAAAUUUAUUUAUAUAAAAUAUUUUAUUCAUAAUUUAUCUUAUCAAAUUAAUUUUAAUUUAUAAAAUAUUAGGACUUCAUUAAUUUUUUUUAUAUUGUUGCAAUUUUUGAGGAAAAUUAUAUUUUUAAUAUUUUAAAAUAAAAACAUUUAAAAAUUAAAUAAAAUUAAAAAGAAAAAAAUUAAGAGUAAAGUGAUAGUAAUUUUUUAAAAUAGGGUCAAUGAGAUAAAUAUGAAAAAUAGUUAAAAAUAAAAGGAUAAUAUAAAUUUAAAAUCAAAGAUAAAUUAAAAAUUAUUAAUUUAAAAAUAAAAAAGGAUAAAAAAAAACUUUUUAAAAAAAGGUGAUUUUUUCAGAUUUCCCUCUGUGAUUCCCUUCAUUCUACUAAAAAAAAGGCCAUGUGUGUGUCACUUCCACGUCUUGAAUUUUCACUGAUUUUUUGCUCCAAAACUGAAAUUUCGCCCAUAUAUUGGCAAUUUUUUUUUACAUUUUUGCGAUUUUUUGAUUGAUCGAUUAUCAAUGGUUGAUUUCGUUUCGACCACACUGAAAAUCGAUUUUUCACCUGUACUUCAAUGAAAAAAAUCUGAUUUUUCAAACCUUGGCUUCAACUAGCAGCUACUUUGAAGUUGAAAUUUUAGUAGAAUGAAGGGAAUCUCAUUUAGCUUUUUAUUUUUUUUUUAUUUUAGCUUUGCAACUAACUACUAGUUUGAAGUUGGAAUUUUAGUACAGAAAGAGAAUGGAACAAAACUUUCCUUAAUGUGCUAACACUUGGUAGUGAUGUUAAUCUUGGACCUAAGAUAGAAAGGACACUCUAUGGAGAUAGUCUCAUCAACAAAUUAUCCUACUUAAUGUAACGGUACACAUAAACACACACACACACACACACACACACACACACACACAUAUAUAUAUAUAUAUAUAUAUAUAUAUAAGUUAUAAUAGGUUAAUUACAAUUGUGAAGGGGAAUCCUAGUGCAAGUCCUUGUUCUUUGAGUUAAUUUAAGUCAAUGAAUUAGAGGAAGGAUUCGUAUCUAGUUUUAAACCAAUGGUGCGGAUAGAGUUUGACUUAUAUUUCAAUAAUCAAUUUAAUAUCGUUUCUUAAGGAAUUGUGUAAGUUUGACUGAUAUUUCAGUCAUCAAUUUAGUAUCAUUUCUUAAGGAAUUGUCUAAGGAGGGUUCAUUUAGCAUGGAUCAUAUCAUACAAGUUAAGUAUACUAUAAUUGUUGUAGUAGAAAAUGCAUAUAUCAAUAAAGAGUGACUAGUAGACUAACCUCAAGGUCAGUCACUCUUUAAUCAUCUAGCUAGUGCUAAGUUAUCAAAGGCAUAAGUGAAACUUUUGGAACUGUAAUGGGCAAAAGUUAUGUAUUAUCCUAUUGUUCUAUCAAUAUAUACAUGCACAAUAGGUACAAAUGGAGGAAAAAGGUUUGGAGCCCAGAAUAUGAGCAAUAAUUAAAGCACUAAUAAAGGAUGCCUAAUUCUUCCCCUCAAGUUGGAAUAUGGAGGUUAUGAAGACUCAACUUGCAAAUGAAGGGAGGAAAAAACAGUAGCUUCCAAAGCCUUGGUAAAUAUAUCAUCCAAUUGUUUCUUAGUAUAAACAUAUGUAGUACAAACUAAACUGGCUCGAAUUUUUUAAUGAAUCCUAUGACAAUACUAGCUUGGUGCGUUCAUGAAAUACUAGAUUUGCAGUAAUAUGGAGAACAACUCUUAUCACAAAACAUGUUGGAAAGGAGCCAUUGAAUUUCACAAGAAGUUAUAGCCAUUGCACGAUAUUUAGCUUCAGUGGAAAAGUAAGAAAUUCUGUGUUGCUUUUUGGAUUUCCAAGAUAUAGGAGAAGAACCCAACAAUAUAUAAUACUUGGUAAUGGAAUGACGGGUUUCUAGACAAGUCACCCAAUCAAAGUCACAAAACGCAUUAAGUUGAAGUGUACUAGAUGGAGAAAAAAGAAUGUCGAUCUCGACUGAGUGAUUGUUCAAUGUGUCAAAGCAAGCGACGAGCAACAUCCAGAUAUGGUUGUUUGGGAUUAGCCAUGAAUUGAUUAAGAAUUUGAACUAAGAAAAUAGUGCCUGGACAACUAAUAGUGAGAUAGAUGAGGCAUCUAAUAAGCCUAUGAUAUAAAAGAAGAUUGGGUAAAAGGUCUCCAUCAGUUGAAGUAAGCGAGAGGUUGGGUUUCGUAGGUGUCUUGGUAGGCCGAGAACCAAGGAAGAUAGUAUCCUCUAAAAUAUCAAGUGCAUAUAUUUGUUGGGAAAAAUAAAUACCAUGUUGGGAGCAUGAAACUUCAAGUCUAAGAAAAUAUUUAAGUGGGCCAAGAUCUUUUAAGGCAAAGCAAUCAUGGAGAUAAUUCUUCAAAGAUGAAAUGACAGAGAUAAUUGGUAUAAACCAAUUGUUGGCAAUGUCAAAUUACUUUAUUUCCUAUCCUGGAUUGAAUAGAUAGUUAUUUGUUUUGAUUUCUAUCUUUCUACCUGUAAUAGGUAUUGAUAUUUACCCAUAUUUUAUUCUCUCAUCAUUAAUUGACAAGGUUGAAGCUAUUCUAUCUAAUUUUUAUUUUAUUAUUAUUUUUUAUAUAUAGAUAGAUUUCAUGAAUAAAAAAAUAAAAAAAAUUAAGCUUUUGGUUUUUAUAAUUGGUUCAUGCCUCUAACCUUAGGCUUCCCUAGAUCUUAUCAAAGCAUAAAAAAUGGCUAUAAAAGCCAAUAAAAUUAAUUAAUCUAGAGAAAAAGUAACUCAUACUUGUGAUUUGGAUGUUUCCAGAUCAAUUCCAAUCUACUGAAGUCGUUGAAAAAGUUAUAGAUCUAGUUUACUUGGUGUUCUUCCCCCUAAUCUCUCCUUACACGAAUCCAAACACGCAAGAGAAGUAUAAAAUACUCUUCCUCCCUAAGAGUGGUUAGAGUUUCUCUUUGAAAGAUAAAAGACAAAAGAUUGAAGUCUUGAUCCCUAAGAGGGUAUUUAUAGAUCAUCCUAUGGGUUUAAGUGACUUGUGCCUAGGUAUUCACAAAAUAACAUUCAAGUGUCCUAAAACACUAAAGCCUUUUGAGUAGGUUGUAAUGUUAUUUGGAUUAAAAAAAUGCUAAAGCUACAUAUCAACAUUCUAUGAAUGUAAUUUUCCAUGAUUUAAUUGGUAAAAUAAUUGAGGUAUAUAUUGAUGAUAUAGUAGUCAGGGUUCCAUAGGUAGUUUUCAGCCCAAGAUAAUAUAGGCAAAAAAAAAAAAAAAAACAUCUGGUCUACUAUUUCAGUCGAUUGAUAACUAAAGUAGGAAAGAAUUAUUCUCCAAUAUGAGUAAUAUAUCUAGCACUACUUUUUUUCCAUAAAGCUCAAACAUUGUAUGUUGCCUACCAUAGUCUAGAUGAUAGCAAAAAUAGAUGUAGUAAAAUACGAUGUUGUCACACCCUAUCCCUCAAAGGUUGAAUGGGAAAAUAAAUAUUAGCCGUCCAUCUUAAAAGAUUGCAUUGAUAUGCAUGAGAUGUCAAACAUGCCAACGAUUGAGAUCUUUACAUCAUUUCUAGGCCUAAAAGAAUUGAGAGAAGCUCAAGCAAUGCAUAUGGAGUUAGAAGAAUUGGGAGAGUCUCGAUUCAAAUCUUUGGAUCAUCUCUAAGCCUAAAAGAGAUAAGUUGCUUGGACCUGUGACGAGGGCAAAAAGAAAAGUUUUUAAUGGUAACCCAUUCAUCUUCAUUUAAAAUUUUGUACCGUUUAUCUUUUCAUUUUUAAGUUUUAAUUUUUUUUAAUAUUUUUCUAAAUUUAAGUUGACUAAUUAAAAGGUGUUUGAUAUUGGCUAAAACCAUAUAAAUAAAACUAUCUCACCAAAAUUUUUAUUUUUGCAAAGACAUAGAUUACGGGCAUUUUCUUAAUGACUUGCACUAGAUUUAAAAUUCUCUCUCACAAUCUGCUAUCGUAGGACUACGUUUACAUUAAAUCCUCCUCCUUCGCCUCCUUGUUGAUUGAGGAUGCUGCCUGUUUAUAUUUACGAUGUUUUGGUUUAUUCUAUUUCUAUAGAGGAACAUUGGAAACAUCUCAACAAGUUUGUCCAGACUAUUAAGAAUACUGGUUUAGGCUUGUCUACCACUAAGAUUAAUUUGUUUUAGACUAAGAUAAGAUUCCUAGGUCAUCAUAUUUACCAAGGAACCAUUACUCCUAUUCAAAGGUCAAUCCAGUUUGUUGAUAAGUUUCCUGAUAAAAUUAAGGAUAAGAAACAAUCGCAACGUUUCUUAGGAAGCCUUAAUUAUGUGUCAAACUUCCUUAAGGACAUAAGCCAAUUAUAUGCCCCUUUAAGACAAAGACUUAAGAAGAAUUCAAGUCCUUGGAAUGAGGAACAUACUAAGAUUGUCAAGACUGUUAAGUCUAGAGUCAUGACCCUGCCAUGUUUAGCCUUAGUUGAUCUUGAAGCCUUUAAGAUUGUUGAGACUGAUGCUUCAAAUAUAGGUUGUGGUGGGAUCCUUAAAUAGAAAUAUGGUAACCAUGAGAGAUUGGUUAGAUAUACUUCAAGGACCUGGAAUAAUACUUAACUCAAAUACAACACCAUCAAAAAAGAAAUUUUAAGCAUUGUUUUAAGUAUUUCAAAAUUUCAAGAUAAUCUUUUGAACCAAGAGUUUUUAUUAAGAGUUGAUUGCAAAUCAACAAAAUUAGUUUUGCAAAAGGAUGUUAAGAAUAUAGCUUCUAAGCAUAUUUUUGUAAGAUUGCAAACCAUUUUAAGUAAUUUUGAUUUUCAAGUUGAGUAUAUUAAAGGAGAAAAUAACUCAAUCCCUGAUUUCUUAACAUGUUGAUUUUGCAAGAUUCACAGGAUCAUAAUCCUUAAAAAGGCUACCUAACUUCCUAAUAGACCACUAGAAUCCUAAUCUUCUAAAAACAGUCAAAACCCUUCUCCUCAUAAAAUGCUUUGGAGUCAACAGAUUGAACUUGAAGAAGAAGAAGCAAGACUUCAUUAUUCCCCUUCUAGCUAUAUGCCUAAUAAGAUAUUGUCCUUGUACUAUGAUCUUUCGGAUCCUCCUAAACCAGUCAAGGCUACGCAAUUUCCUGUAAUUACAAGGUCUUAAACCUUUAAGCAAGUAACUAAAGCUAAUCCCCCUCAGAAGGAAUUAACAUCAAGCUCGACUUUUCCAAAUAAGCAAAUUGUGGUGGCUACCAACCUAACACCUCUUUCUUCAAAAUCACAUUAUUGGAAAAAUGAUCUUAAUAAACCUAUUUUGGUUAUUGAAAGAGAGUUUUUUCAAUGAAAAUCCCAAGGAAAUAGUUGCAAAAGCUUUUCAUGAAAACUUUCAUUAUCCAUCUAGUGAUAUUUUGAAAACAAGAGAUUUUUAUGAAAAUAUCCUUGUGGAUACUGACUUAGUUAAAAUUAAGCAUAAUACAGAUAAGUAUAGCAACUUGGAUUUAAGAUUUUCUAUUUGCCAUAUUUUCAAAAUUCUCACAAUUAAGUAGUGAGGUGGGAACCUUAAUUUUUCAAGGGAAUUCUCUAAGCCUUCAAAACCAAGAUUUUUCAAUUAUUGGGACUACUAGAAAGUCUGGUUUAAUGCUUUUCUUAUCCAAAACAAGGACUUCUAUCAUUCAUGGAUGUUCUAUUUCCCAUCUAAGCAUUAACUCUCUUCUUUUCCAUUUUGGUUUCACAAUUGGUGGACUUAUUUUGGUCCAACUAUUAAGAUUCUCCCAAAACCCAUCUUGGAUGGUUUGGAACUAUUCAAAAGUUCAUUUUUUUUUUAUUCCCAGAGAACUUUUAGCUUUUCCCCAUUUACUAUUCUUUUUUAGCGAAUUUGGCCUUGCUUGGAUAGUCAAGUGAGACUAUAUCAUUAUUGUGGAUGAGUUAGCAGCCUUUCCAACCCUUGGAAGGACUUUUAAGACUAAAUGGUGGGAUGCUUUAAAAAAUGAUGCCUCUGUGCAAGCCUUUAAGCAAUAUUUUCUUAAGCACCCCACACAAACAUCAACCUCUGAAGACAUGUCCCAGUUUACAAUAGCUCCAAGCCAUGAUUGCUACAGCUAAAACCCCUCAGGAAUUUCAUAAAAUCCUUGGCAAAAGUAGCUCAAGUUUUUCUCAAGAUGACUCUUAUGUUGGAUCAAAUGAUUCUAUUUCAAACUACUUUCCGAAUAAUGGCGAUGAUUGGGAGGGCAUUUUUCAUCCCAUUCAGAAAUCAAAAUAAGCAUUUUUCUUCGCCAUUUGAAGACAUUAAGUUAAUUCUGUUUAAGCUUGUUGUUUACCUUGGAAUUUUCCACCUACAACUUUUAAGUCCUUUUAACACCGAAAGUAAGCUUGUUCCCCGCAUGUGAUUCUACAAUUUUGACACCAGACAAAAGCAGUCAGAUAGCUCUUAGUAUUCCACUGAAAAACAAGAUUCAGUUGUCGAAAAGUCAAAAGUGCUACGGUAAAAGUCAAUUUUAUUGUUCACUAUUCACUUCACGGGUGGUUACUAUUCAUAGUUGAAGUCAAAAGUCCACAGUAACCUGUCGUCUGCUUUGUACUAUUUAAGAUUCUUAUUUUCAACUAUUUAAGGAGGCUAGUUCCUCAUUUGUAAACACCAUUCAUUUUCUAUUUCCACCCUGAGCUCUUUUUUCUCUUUUCUUUCUUCCUCAAGAUAUAAGCUUCCCAAGCCAAAGCUUUCCUUAAAGUUUUCCUAUCAUUUCCAUUGUAAGAUAUUGUUUCUCCUUAUAAGUAUGUUUUUCAAGUUAUGUAAUAUAAAGUUUCAUGUUUUUCAUUGCAUAUUACCUCGUCCUUAUAUAAACACAUAAUUUUUAAUACAAAUAUAUUAAUAUAAGAACACAAAGAUAAAGUAGUAUAAAGUUACACAAGGUUUUAAUAUGGUUCGACCAAUUAUAUUUAUAUUUAUGAAAGAAAAAGACCAUUCUACUAUAUUAUAAUAGAUAUGAUAGAAGAAAAAGAAACUAUAUACAACUACUAAGCCCUGAAACAUCUUAUAUUUCCUUACUCAUUGUAUUUACUCCUAACCUUCAGUUCUUCGCUCCAUCGAGCAUAUCUCACUCUUCUAUCUCAUGACCUUUUCUCUCAUGUCUUUUUUGCUUUAUCAUUUGAUCCAUUUUUUCAUUGUUAUUUUUAAAUAUCUAGAAUAUAUUUAUUUUAUUAUAUUUGCUCAAUUAAGAAUGACCUUAUAGACUUAAAAAACCUUUUGUAUUAAAGUAAAGCAACAUUAAGUAAUGACUGGUUCUAUUCAUUUUCAAUUAUUUGUUCAUUUUCACAACUUCGAUGAUCAUAAAAGCAAAAUAUUUUUGAAUAUAUAAUUCUUUAAUAUCAAAGAAAUUACAUAUAAAAAUUCCGAUCCAUUCUUAAAUAUUUUAUAAAAAAUAUCACUCAUCCAUUGUGAUCAAUAUAUAUAUAUAUAUAUAUAUAUAUAUAUAUAUAUCUCAUGAAUGUUGUGCUGGAAAAAGCUUUAAUACAAAUAUGUUAAUGAAAAAACACAAAGAUAAAAUAGGUCAUCCAUAUAACUAUAUGACAAUUUAACGUGGCUUAACCAACCAUGCCUACAUCCACAGAUGAGAAAGAUCUUUCCAUUAUAGUAUAAAGAAUAUUAUAACAAAAGAUAAAAACUAGAUACAACUACUGGAUUCUCAAACAUCCCAUGUCUCUUAUUCCUUGUAUCCCCUAAACCGUAAGCUCUUUCCCUUUAUCAAGUGUCUCUCACUUUUCCUCGCAUCUCUAUAUACGUAUAUAGUCUUCAUAAGCCCAUAUUCAAUUCAUGAUCUUUUGUCCUUGAACCUGUUUUUAUAUAUAGAAAAACACUAAUUUUGAAGUGCUAAUCACACCCCUCAAUCUAAACAUUGCUAGUCCCUAGCAACAGAAAAGAUAAAAAUAAAGGUAACAUGCAAUCCUCAAAAAGUUUUUAUCACCCUUACAUAAUCACCUUUCUUGAGUGCAUUUUUAUAAAGUUAGGUCUUCCUUGAGUCUAAAAUAAUAAUUGUUGAUGUGCAUUGGUUUACCAAGUUAUAAAAAUCAUGCAAAAGAUGUUUAAAAAAUUCCUUAGUCCUCCUAAGGUUCCUAUCACUCAUUCCAUACUAGACAUAGUAUAAAUUUGUUCAUCUCUUAGCUGUGACUUUAGGAGAAUAACUCCCCUCAACCUAGGUAAGACAAUACUCCUCCUCGAUUGAUUUUGGAGAACACCUUUCUUUACACUUUAUUGCUCUUAUUUUUUUCCCUAGAUUGCAUACAAAACCUUUCAUUUUGAUUCUCCUUUGGGUUCAAAACAUGCAUACAUUUCUUUUUUGUCUUUUACUAGCAUGAAACUCACUUCCAUGUGGCUAAUGAGGAUUCACUAGCAACUCCUAAGUUUACACCUAAGAUAAUAAGUUUGGAGGACCAUUGAAGAUCACUAAUCCCUCAAGCUUUACCUUUAGUUCUUUAGAACAAGUUCAAAAUUUCCAACUUUGAAGAAUUUUUUUUGGUGUUACAAAUCAAUAUAUCACUCUACGCACACGUAUACCUUGGCUUAUGAAAGAUUUUCUCUUAAAAACAUAACUAAGGUAUGAUGUGUUGGUGUGUGUAAGUCAUGUAAAGAAUUAAGUACUAGAAUGUCUUUGGAUUUCUCAAGGAAAAAUAACUAACUAUUCUUGCAUUUUGCCCAUAUCAAGUUAAAUUGAAUUAUAUCAACUUUGAAUUAUGACAACUUAAAGAAUUCCAAAAUAAUAAUAAUAAUAAUAAUAAUAAAAUCAGCACUUUUAGCAUGAACAAAAUAAUCCCCCACCCCUCAACCUACUUAACACAAUGUCCCCAUUAUGUGCAAAUGUGAAAGCAAGGGGAUAAAGAUGCUUACAAUGUUGAUGCACUUCUCAUUUCAAUUUGAUGGUCAUGGUUGCAAUUGCAUUUUGAUCAUCUAUAUUUUCAAGAUAACUCCAUUCAUAGUUAGGCUCAUUUAUUGAAAAUAAAAACAUAACUCCUAGGAAAUAAAAAGAAAAUAAAUGAAAAACUAAAAGAAACUAAGUACUAUAACCUACUAGACUAAGGAAAAUGUAUUUCCAUUAGGAAUCUCGCCAUCAAUAGGAUGGAAAAUUUCCUCUAGUGGCAUUCAUCUCUCUCUAAGGAACUUUAGGUAAUGAUUUUUCACCUUAACUUUACUCUUGUUCUUCUCCAACUUUCAUUGAGUUCUUCUAACAAAACUUCUAGAUCAAACUUCCCAUUCAUCUUAUGUGUUUACAAUACCUUAAGAAUAUUCAAAUACUUCAUUUCUUGAUCCGCAUGAAAUAAAUAUGAAAUCAUCAUUGGUUGGUCUUUAUUCCUACCAAGAAAAAUAUAUUUCAAUCCCUAUGGUGGUGGUUUCAAAUUAGGUUUCUUUUCCGAAAACAAUUUUGGUUUAUCUUGCAUCUUGUCUCUUGUUUUUAUGUCGCCAACAACUAGCUCAACCUUCUUUUUCCGGCAAGUGUUUUUCUGCAACAUAUCCUCAUUUUUAGCAACAAAUGCCUAAGCUUCUUCCUUAGGAAAGUCAACUAGUAGUUUCUCUAAGUGCUUAUCCAUGAGCAAAUUAACAUGUUCUUGAACUAAUGUGUCAAUCAAGCAUACUUCUUCAGAUUCAAACUCUUCAUGAUCAACCAGUUACUUGUAGAGGUGAAACACAUUCAGCUCCAAGGUCAUGUUCCCAAAUGAUAAGCACAUUUCAACAAUUGAUGAUUGCAUUGGCAAUGGCAUCUUAAGAUAAUUAGAAUUGAAUUUACCUUUUUCCUUAUAGGUUCACUCUCCAAAACCAUGAAAUCUAUUAGAUAGUAGAAUUUGUCUAGUUACAUUAACACAUCUUCUACCACUCUUCUAGGCACUUUAAUCGAUCUAUUAGCUAGGGACAAAGUGAUAGAUGUGGACUUCAAUUCUUCCAAUCCCAAUUGUUGAUAAAUUAAGGUAAUAGGUUCACACUUGCUCUCAAGUUAAACAAUGUUUUCUCCACAUAUGAUUCUUCAACUUGCACUAAGAUGGUGGGGUAGCCAGAGUCUUUAUACUUCACCAUAGACUUGUUCUCUAUUAUAGAACUCACUUGCUUUGUUAGGAAGACUUUCUUAUUGACUUUGAUUUUUCUUUUAACUGUGCAUAAGUCCUUAAAAAUUUUUGAAUAGGUCGACACUUGUUUGAUUAUGUCCAAGAAGGGUGUAUCCAACUUGACUUGCUUCAAUACUUCAAUAAUAUCAUAACUUUGCUUAUUGAUAUUAGGUUUUUUAAAUGCUAAAGGGAAAGGUAGGUGAUUCUUGAUUGCAUCUUCUCCCUUAUUUUUCUACUCAUUUUAUUUUCUCUCACACAAUUCAUCCUUUAAAAUAGGUGGGUUGACAUGUUGAACAAUCGGUUGAGAAGUUUUGACAUGUUUUUUUUGCUUUGGUGCUUCUAACUCCCUUCCCACUUCUCAACAUAAUUAUAGUUUUCACCUCUUCAUUUUCCCCAAAAUUUGUUGCUUCACAAGCAUUCCUUGGAUUUUGUUGGGAUUGGGCUGAAAAUGUCAUUUCUAUGGAGACAUACUUAUAGUGAUUUGAUUAAGAGUGACUUGAAUGUUGAAGAUUGCUUGUGAUGUUUGGGCAUUGAUUUUCCUCAAAUUUCAUUUAGUUUCGAUCUUUUUGUGGUCCUCAUUGAAUUGCCAUUGUUCAGCAGUAAAUUGAAUUUAUUAAUGAUACAUUUGUUGGAGAAAAUUCCUAAUACUCAAAAUAGUUGAAGUUAAUUGAGGUUGUUGCACAAAUCCUUGACUUCCUCUUAGAUAUGAAGUACUCAUAAAUGAGGGUUCAUUGGGGUUGGUUUAAAGAGUGCAUGACUGCUGCCCUUAUCCUUGAAUGUUGUUGAAUCAGUUUCUCACUGUAGAAACUAAUUUGUGUGUUGAGUUGAAGUUGUUCCUUGAAUUGAUUAUUCCCUCUCUAAGAUAGGUUUUAAUGGUUCUUCCAACCUAGAUCGUACAUGUUAUAAGGGGAAUUGUUGGAACCCUGCUUGAAGGCACCAAUUGCAUUGGCUUGCUUUGAGAACAUCUCACUCACUAUUAGGAGUGUUGGGCAAUUCAAAACUUCAUGCUUCGUGAACUUGUAGAUCAAGCAAUGUAUUUCUUCACUUAGCUACUUCCCUUUUGUGAAUUCCAUUGACUUCUAAUUACCUAAAUCUUCUUAAUAGAGAAGUCAUCUUUGCUUGGACGUCGAAUGCUUUAGGAAUUGAAUAGAUACCACCGGUUUUUGCUUUUCAUAGAGCUUUUGUCCUUGAUGACAUCUUUGCUCAAUGAAUCUUCCCAACUCCUUAAUACUCUAGCCACAUAAUCUAAGAAUUGAAGGGUUUCUUUUGGACUUUUGCUCAUAAAGUCACUUUUUCACAUUGCUUCCACUAGUUGUUUCAUUUGGAGAGACAUUCCUUUCUAGAAAUAACUUACCAACAUCCAGGUCUCAAAUCCAUGAUGUGGGUAGGCACCAAGCAUCUUGUUGAAUAUCUCCUAGCAUACAAAUAAUCUAAGGUUAUGAAAUUAGAAGUCUCACUCUUCAAUGCAUUGGUUUUGUGUGAAGAUAAAAUUUUUUAUAGGAACAUCAAUUGUAGAUUCGUCCAACUUUUGAUACUUUGUGGUCUAAGAGUGUUAAACCAAAUCUUUGCCUUGUCAUUUCAUGUCAAAGGGAAAACCUUCAUUCUCAUUGCCUCAAUAGGCACAUUUACUUCUUGGAAUGUGAAACAAAUUUUCCUCACUUCCUUAAUGUGAGAUUAAGGAUUCUCCUCUUUAUUCACCCUUAAAAUAGGUAACAUUGACACUAGUUGUGGUUUGAUUGAGAUAUGUUCUUAAGGGGCAUUGAAGCAUAAGAGUUUGUUGACCCUAAGAGGGUUAAAAUGAUCUUUCAUCUAUCUAUAGGCUUGGAAAAGCUUAACUUGUUAAUUAUUGUUGCUUCAAUUCAUUGGGUCAUCCAUACUUGCUUGAAUGGCUAAAUUUGUUUUUGAAGUCUAUCUAAAAUAUCCCUUUUCCAAACAAGUGUAAAAAGCAAGAAGAAGACAAUAAAAAUAAAAGCACUAAAAGUAAAAAACUAGAAAUAAAUAAAAUUCCUAUUAUUAAAGAAAACCAACUAUUUAAAAAAAAAAAACUAAAAACUAAUCAGUACUUAAUUGACUUAGAUAAAACUUGUAAUCAAUUCCCCAACAAUGACAUCAUUUUCUUGACUGAUAAUAUCUAUUGCAAAUAAAAUACUAAAACAUAAAUACAUAAUAAAACUAAUCAAGAAAAAUAAGGGAUAAAGUUAUCACAACUUGUAGUAUUUCAAGUUAUCAUUCUUAGGGAAUACUUUUUUUAAACUAAUUUUAUCUAAAAAUAGUGAUUUUUAUGAAAAAAAAAAUGAUUAGAUUGAAAUUAUGAUUUGAUGGAUAAAUUAAGAAAACCGUGAUAAACAAAUCUAGAGAUUUUCACAAAUCCAAUCUUAGACCUAUGAUUGAGGGAUGAUAAAUACUAAUUAAAGGAUUUUUUUUGUCUUCGUAGAUUGGACCAAAAUAUAGGUUAUCCAAGUUUGGAACCAUGUUUUAAAACUUAAAAUCCAUUCUUUAAUAGUCAUCCAACAACUAAUUUGAUAAAUUGUUUCAUCCUUUAAGAUAUUUAAAACCUAAUGUUCAUUUGGUAGAUUUUCUUUGGUCAUCAAUCACAUAUGAUCAUACUAGGUCAGCUAUUGAUCUUAAUCCCUUAUGCAUCAAAGGAACCCUAGCAUGUAUCCUAUGUACAUCUAAUAGGGAUGAACUAGCAAAUAAUUAAACUUUCAUACAAAAUUUAAAGAUUAGAAACUUACUAACUUGGAAAGAUAUCACCUUUUCUUAUCAUCCCUUUCUCCUAGAUCAUUCGUGAUUUAUUAUUGCAUCUCCAAAGAAAGGAUUAGCUCAGAUUAAUGUCAUAUAUUGAAUUAAAUUAAAUCAUGAGAGAUUUUAUUGAAAACUAAAUGAUUAUAAAAGUUGUAUCCAAACUCAAAAGUUUCUUUCUUUUUUUGUUGCUUUCUCUGUUCAUAAAGAAAUUUAUGGUAUUUAUUAAAAGCCUAACCCUAAAAACAUAAAUAAAAGUGCUAAAACGUCCAAAGACAUGCAAAAAAAUCCAAAUGGGGAAAGUCUCGAAGGGAAAUUCUGGAAGUUAAAGUUUGUAUCAGAAAUUUCGAUACCUCCGUAGUGGUGUCAAAAUGCAUUUUGAUAAAUGUCUAAACCUUAUAGACCUCUGGCAUGCUUCUAAUGUGGUAUUGGGUUGAUUAUGACAUGUAUCAUAAUGUAUCUUUUUGUAUUAUGAUGUAUCGAAAUAUUGCAUCUUAUAUCAAAAUUGUAUCAUAAUGUAUCUUUUUGUGUCUUAAUGUAUCAAAAUGUUUCACUUUGUAUUGAAAUUAUAUCUCCAUGUAUCGAAAUUCAUUUUGAUAAACCCUGAAUUUUUUUGUAUCUUUAGAAUGCUUUUGUAGGAAAAUUUGGAUACCUCCACUAUAUUGAAAUGUUUAUCAAAAUUCAUCUUUCAUUUUGAAAUGCAUUUUGAUAAACUCCUAAACUCACUGGAUCUUUGAGAGGUUGAGAUUGGUGAUUUUCAAUACCUUAUUGUGGCAUCAAAAUCAAUAUUAAAAUGCAUUUCUUGUAUCAAAAUGGUGUCCUUGCAUCAAACUGUGUAUCGACUGACAUCAAAAUGUAUUCCAAUAACACCCCAAACUUAUUGUGUUCGGAUUGACUCUGCUCCCUUGUAUUGAAGUUGUUAGGACAAUGAGUCUUUAAUGUAUUUUGACAAUUUUGUUUCAUUCUAUUUUUGGCCUAAGAAUCUUUUUAGAUAGUGACUUAUUCUUCAUUGAAGAUCCAAGGUUGUUGUUCAUCCAAUUGAAAAGUCAUAGGUAUGUCAAAGAAGGUUUGACUUGUGACAAGUUAGGUAAUCAAAGGGAAUAAAGUGAAUAAAUAUAUAUAUUUUAAAAAAAAUUAAAAAAGUUUGUUAAAGGACAAUUAUUUUUUUAUUUUUUUUAAAAUAAGAUAUGAUUGAAUUAGAAGUUUUAAAAUUGAGCUAAAAUCUCUUAAUUAUUUUUUGACAACUUUGGGAUUUUGUUUUUAAUAAAAUUAUUUUCUCAAUUAAUUUUAAGAAAGUUGAUAUUUUGUUUUUAAGAAAAUUCUUUUCUUAAUUAAUUUUUAGAAAGUUGAUAUUUUUUUAGUUGAUCUUUAGAAAGUAGAUAUUUUAUUCCGUUUCCAACCAUUUUGGGUUUGGGCAUUGUCGAGAGAGACUCAACUUAACUUGCCCUACCAUUCCCAAUCUCUCAACAAAGAUUCAAAGAUUGAAUCUUGGGUUGUUGGAAGAUUUUCAUUCCCUUAACGAGUCUAAGGAGUAUUCAUUCGAGUAAUUGGAGAUUGUUACGUCGCAAAUGUGGAUCAAGUUGUAAGUAUUGAAGAAUAAGUCUUUAGGGUAAAACAAUAAGAUAUAUAAAUCUAGGUAACUUGAUCUUAUAUAAUGGAUUUACAUUAGAGGUUUUAAACCUUAUGAUUUUUUAUUUUUUAUUUAUUUAUUUUAUCUCCAUAGUUAGUGUGUGAGUUUUCCACAUGAAAAUUAUUGUUUUCUUUGCAUGUUUGUUUACUUUUUUUAUUAUUUUGGAUAUUUUGUUAAUCCUUGAUAUCUUGCUGGUUUAAUUAGGUUAAAAACUCUACUCCCUAUUUAAAUUGUGUUAUUAAUUCUUAAUCCUUAUAUUAUAAUUUUUAAUUACACUCAUUCAUCCCCUAUGUUACCCUAUUGGACCACGGCUUUUUAGAAAGUGAUGUUGAAAUCCACUCUUACAUAUCAAAAUUCCUCUUUUUCGUUGCAUUCCUCACUAGAUGUAAACAUUGAUCCUCAAUUUGAGGCUUAGCAAAUAUUUAAGUUACAAUGAUAUGCACUCAAAAGUUAUUUAAAAGCCUAUUUCUAUAUAUGGAAAAACAUCAGUUUUGAAUGCUAAUCAAGUACUGCAUAUGGGAUUGUAACUGCAUUUUAGUUGUCGUCAUUGUCAAGCAAGGUUUUAAGUUGAAGUUUUUGAAGGGUGCAUCACGUGGGCUUGCUGGUUCAGAUAUCACCCGCAUUUUCAAGACUUGAAUUUGACCUCACAGUGUACUCUGCUACAAGCUUGGCGAAAGAUGACGACUUGUUCUCUAGCAAUCUGGUUGGGGUAUCGUAUUCCUCAAUUAUCCCUACAUCAUCGACAUUUCCAGGGAAAUAAAUCAAGAAGAAUGCAGAUGAAGUUAAGAGUGCCAUUAGUUCAUGUUGAUAGUACUAACCAUGAUCCAGAAGUAGAACCAUGUCACUAUCAAGAACAGAAGUAGUUCGAUGUGCAAUAGUUAUGACUGUAGAAUCGACAAAGUGUUGUCUAAGGGUUUGCUGAAUCUGAUUAUCUGUGGCUGUAUCAACUGAUGCAGUAGCUUCAUCAAGCACCAAGACCUUGCUUUUCUUGAGUAGAAGUCGGCCAAGACAAACCAGUUGCCUCUGACCCAUGCUCCAAUUCUCUCCAUUCUCAAUAACUGCCAAAUGCAUACUAACAUUAGGAGACUUAUAUGAGGUUUCUAUUUAGAUUUUAUGUUAGCAUGGCGGGAGAAAUAACCUACAGAAUCUAGCUUUCCUUCUUUCUUCCUGACUUCAUCUCCAAGCUGGCACUUAUCCAGAGCCUGAACCAAUAAGUUAGUUAACAACAUUGCACUUCUACAGUACUAAGAAAUUUAGCGAAGGAAACUAUAUUUCUACUAUAUUAAGAAAACAUAGUAGAGGAAAACUGCAUGUCUACCAUACUUAAGUAUAUCAAUAGAAUAAACAAAACCUACCUCCCAAGUCUGCCCAUCUGAGUACUCUUCAAGUGGGUCAAGGUUGCUCCGUACAGUCCCGUCAAACAUGGUUGGAUCCUGAGGGAUAAUGCUUAGUCUGGACCGCAAAUUUUGUAGUCCAAUGGAAGAGAUGUUGGUACCAUCUAUCAUAAUCUGACCAGCGGCAGGUUCAACAAUUCGAAAGAGGGUCUGUAUGAGGGUUGAUUUACCGCUGCCAAUUCGCCCUACAAUGCCAGUCUUCAUUCCUCCCGGGAAAGUGCAUGUGAGACCUCUCAAUACAAGUGGCAUGUGUGGGGCAUAGCGGACCUACAUCCACACUCACCGUCAUGAAACACAUGGAAAUUCCUUUGACCAGAGGAAGCCAUGAAUAACCCCGUGUCGUAUAUAUUGUUGGUAUGAGAUAAAAUCAUAUAUUUUAUUCUAUCUUCAAUUCAUUAGAGUACAGGUGUAUAUAUAGACAAAACGGAAAAAGCUAUACAUGGACUACAUGGAUUACAACUACAAUUGCUGACCUAUAAUUGACCCUAUAAAUGAGGGAUUGCAGUGACUGAUUUUUCUCCUAUGAUAUCCAUAAUUUUCUCCUUUAAUUGUUCAGAGAACAGCUCACGCCAACACUCCCCCUCAAGUUGGUACGUAAAUAUCAAUAAGUCCCAACUUGUCUAGUGAGUGAUGGAAUAUUUUACUGCUCACAGCUUUUGUAAGAAUAUCGGCCAGUUGGUCUUCAGAUUGCACAAAAGGGAAUCAGAUAAUCUUUGCAUCAAGAUUUUGUUUAAUAAAGUGUCGAUCUACUUCUACAUGCUUAGUCCGAUCAUGCUGAAUGGGAUUAUGGGAGAUGUCAAUUGCUACUUUAUUAUCACAAAACAACUUCAUCUCGGAGUCAAGGGCAAAACCAAUCUCCGUUAGAAGUCUCCUAAGCCACAAUAACUCACAUAGCCCUUUAGUCAUUCCACGAAACUCAACUUCCGCACUGGAUAGAGCGACCACCUUCUGUUUUUUGCUUCUCCAAGUAACCAAGUUUCCUCCAACAAAAGUGAAGUAGCCUGAGGUGGAUUUCCUAUCCAUGAUGUCCCCUACCCAAUCUACGUCUGUAUAUCCUUCUACUCUUAGGUGAUCAUUUUUUGAGAACAUAAGUCCCUUUCCAGGGAACGACUUCAAAUAUCUUAAAAUCUGCAUAACGACACUGAUAUGAUCUUCACUUGGACAAUGCAUAAACUGGCUUACCACACUUACUGCAUAAGCAAUAUCAGGUCGUGUGUGAGAAAGAUAAAUAAGCUUGCCUACCAAUCUUUGAUACCUUCCUUUGUCUGUUGGUACUUGAUUGGGAUAUUCUCCAAGUUUGUGAUUCGGAAUUAUUGGAGUUUCUGUAGGCUUACAAUCAAGUAAUCCAACCUCUGUUAAUAGGUCUAAAAUAUAUUUUCUUUGAGACAGGAAUAUACCUCGCUUUGAUCUAGCAACUUCAAUUCCCAGAAAGUAUUUUAGUCCUCCUAGGUUCUUCAUUUCAAACUCAGAUGCCAACUACUCUUGAAGUCUUGCUAUCUCCUCUGAAUUGUCUACUGUGAUGAUCAUAUCGUCUACAUAGACUAUCAAAGCAGUCAGUUUGCCCUGUCUAUGCUUUAGGAACAAAGUGUGAUCGGAGUUACUUUGCUGGAAUCCAUACUUUUUCAUUGUCAUACUGAAUCUUCCAAACCAAGCUUGAGGUGAUUGUUUCAACCCGUAUAGAGUUCUUUGUAAUUUGCAAAUAAUGUUGCCUUUUGUGUUGGCUGCAUAUCUUGAGGGAAUGUCCAUAUAUAUAUAUAUAUAUAUAUAUAUAUCUUCUUCUAGAUCACCAUGUAAAAAUGCAUUCUUUACAUCGAACUGAUGCAGGGGCCAAUCCAGAUUUGCUGCAAGUGGCAACAAUACUCUCAUCGUAUUUAGUUUGGCAACGGGUGAGAAUGUUUCCUAAUAGUCAACUCCGUAUGUCUGCGUGAAUCCCUUUGCUACAAGUCUCGCCUUGUAACGCUCAACUGUUCCAUCUACCUUGUAUUUGAUAGAAAACACCCACUUGCACCCCAUUGUUUUCUGUCCUUUAGGUAGAUUGACAAGAAUCCAGGUCUUAUUUUUCAACAGUGCCUCCAUCUCCUCCUUCAUAGCCUGGACCCACCUCGGGUCAUUCAUUGCUUCUUCAACGCUUGUAUGAACCUGACACGAGGAGAGUGCAUCUGCGAAAGUCUUUAGAGGUUCAGGAAGCGUCUUUGUGGAUACAUAGUUGUCAAUCGGGUAUUUCAACCUCAGGUCUUCUAUGGUAGGAGAGUAUCUAUCUAGUGGCUUGCCUCGAUUAUGCCUGUAUGGUAACUCAUAGCCCACAUGAGCAUCAUUAGUUAACACAGGUGUACUCAGAGUGUUCAGGGAACUUACCUCAGGAAUAUUAUUAGGAGAUGGGUCUUUGGAUAUUGUGGGAUGAGGGGGUACUAUCGACUGUUGUGGUUGCUGCUCUUCAGUUACUAAUGGUAGAACACCAAGUUCUUUGUCAACAUCAGGUUCUGUAUUGGAUAUAGAAACAACAGGCUCCUAAUCAAACCUCAGCCAAUUCAACUCUUCAUUUUGAGGCGCCCCCUAAAGGGUAGAAGUGGAUGUGGUCGGAGAGUAGAAAGUCUCUGAUUCCAAGAAGGUGACAUCCAUCGUCACAUAGGUGCGAUGAUUAGAUGGAUCAUAACAACGAUAUCCCUUUUGAUGUAGGCCAUACCCCAAAAAAAGACACCGGAUUGCGCAGGGAUCGAGUUUAGUGCGUUGAUUCUUGUGUAAAUGAACGAAGGCAACACAGCCAAAUACUCGAGGCGAAAGCAUUAGGGCAGUAGGUAGAGAGAUGACAGUGGAUAGAGCCUGGAGAGGAGUCUUGAACUUAAGAACCUUAGAAGGCAUCCGAUUAAUAAGGUGAACUGCUGUAGUGACAUCAUCAAUCCAAAAAUGAUUAGGUACAUGAGCACCAAGAAGAAUAGCCCGAGUAGUCUCUAAAAUAUGCCGAUUUUUCCUUUCGGCGAUUUCGUUUUGCUGUGGUGUUUGAGGACAGGUAGUUUCAUGAAUCAAGCCAUGGCGACUGAAAUAAUUUUUGAAGUCACGGCAUAUACUCUCCACCAUUAUCGGAUCAAAGUAUGUGAAUUGUAGUAGAAUACUGAGUUUUAACCAUCUCAUGAAAUGAGCAAAAAAUAGAGAAAACUUUAUCCUUAUUCUUCAUUAGAUACAACCAUGUCAUAUAAGUGCAAUCAUCCAAAAAAAUCACAAACCAUCGACCCCCAGAUAUAGUGGAUUUGGGAGAUGGACCCCACACAUCAGAGUGAAUCAAUUCAAAAGGCAUCUGACUCUUAUUAAAACUCAAAGGAUAACUAACACGAUGACUUUUAGCUAAGAUACAUGUCUCGCAUUUAAAAGCCAAAUCCGACAAACCCAAAAAUAAAGUAGGAAAUACAAGUUUCAAAUAGCCAAAUGAAGGAUGUCCUAACCAACAAUGCCACAACAAAAUGUUCACCUUAUUUCGAUCACUAGAGCUUCUCGUAUGGUUAGCUCAACCGUUGCCAAAAUCUUCCAUAUAGUAGAGCCCCCCCCUUUUAGUACCACGCCCAAUUAUCUCCUUGGUGAGAAUAUCCGAAGAAGACAAAAGGUUGGAUAAAUUAGAACAAUACAAUUUAACUUCUUCGUGACUUGGCUCACUGACAAUAAUUUAUGAGACAAUGAGGGUACAAAAAGGGUAUUGGUUAAGGAGAGAGCUGGUGAUAUCAUCACUGUACCAGCCCCUUUUACCAAAGAAAUGUCCCCAUUAGCAUUAGCAAUGCUAGUAUGCCGAGGAGAGAAUCGUUUAGAAAAAUCACUUGCAGUGGUUUGUUGCCCCUAAAUCAAGAAUCCAAUCGUCAUAUGAUUCAGUGGCAUUGGUCCCGAGAAAACUCAUACCUGUAUCCAAAUCAACUGUUGUUGUCAGAAUAAGUGACAAUUGGGACUCAGUCGAGGCUAUCGCGGCCUUACCCGUGCCAUUAGCUGCAUUUUUGCUUGCUCCACCAUCAUUCCCAUUCCCAUCCCGUCGCCUCUUGGCUUGUAAUUCAUGCACCAAUAUGGGUAGCCAUGCAGUUUGAAGCAUGUGUCUCGAGUAUGCUUCGAAUUUCCACAAUGAGAGCAUUUCAUGUCAUUGGAUGGGCCCUUUGACUUAGAAAUUGAGUUGAAUUUUCCAUUCAAUGAUAAAGAGUUGGCUGCAGUGGAGGGCCCCUGUUUGAGGCUUCAUGAAGCCAAUACUACUCCAAUCGCCUCUUCUCCAUCAUUGGCUGUCAUCACCGCUUGACGCACAACUUCUAUACGAACAUGGGCAUACGCCUGUUCCACUAUGGGAAAUGGCUUAAGCUGCAACACAUCACUUCUAAUAUUAUCAAGUUUAUCAUCCAAACCAUCAAGAAAAGUAUAUACCCGUUCCUCCUGCAGCAUAUUGUUAAAAUAUUGGAUAUCUGCUGGACAUUGCAUUGGAUUGGGACAACAUAAAUCAAUCUCCCGCCAUAGACCUUGGAGAUCAUUGUAGUAUUUUUCCAGAGAGCCACUACCCUGCCUGAGUCGUGCCACUCACCGCCGGAGUUCAUAAACUUGGGUUGCAUCAUUUCCAUCGAAGUAAGUGGUUGCAAUUGCAUCCCAAACUUGCUUUGCCAUUGGAAACUGAAUGAAGUUGCCAAUAAGGGAUGGAUCCAUUGAACCAAUCAGCCAUCCUUUCACAGUUGCAUUCUCAGUCCGCCACCUACAGAAGGAAGGGUCGGUUGUUGAUGGUUGAGGAAGGUCGCCGUUGAUGUAGCCGAGUUUAUCCUUGCCCGCAACAUACAUCUUUACGACUAGUGACUAGAGGGCGUAAUUCGUGCCGUCCAACUUGAUGCCAAUCGGUGCAAUUGCUGAGUCGGUGGCUAGAAUGGACGUCGGAGCUUUACUCAAAGCUUCUGUCAUCCUUGCCGUAAGUUCAGACAGUACAGAUGGAGAGAUUGAAUAUUCACCCGAGUGCUCACCUAAGUGAGGAUUUGUAUCUGCCAUGUGAAAGGAGAUUGGGCUUUGUUUUCAAGAAAUUUGGUUGAACGGAGGAUAGAGGAUCGAAUUCUGCUCUGAUACCAUGUUGGUCUGAGAUAAAAUCAUAUAUUUUAUUCUAUCUUCAAUUCAUUAGAGUACAGGUGUAUAUAUAGACAAAACGGAAAAAGCUAUACAUGGACUACAUGGAUUACGACUACAAUUGCUGACCUAUAAUUGACCCUAUAAAUGAGGGAUUGCAGUGACUGAUUUUUCUCCCAUGGUAUCCAUAAUUUUCUCCUUUAAUGGUUUAGAGAAUAGCUCACGCCAACAUAUACAAAUUGAAUUACCUGCAAAUCCUGAAUAUCAACUUGUCCAUAUGAAGGCCAGGAACAUGCUGGCCUGUUUUCUUCUAUGACAAGAGGAGGCUCACUUGGAAUGGAAGUGUAUUGAAGCAUUCUCUCAACUGAUAUAAUUUUAUUCUCCGUAUUGCAAAGACUCCAUAUUACCCCAAAUUGUAACAUGUUCAAAGUAAGUCUAUAUGUCACUGCUAGGCCCGCAAUACCUUUGAUGGAAGUGGAAAAGAGUGUUAGUAAUUUUCCUAUGCCAUUUGCUAUUGAGAGUGAAAUGGAUAAUUAGUGAAUAUACCAUAUCAGAGUUACUUACCAGGAUCAAUUACUCCCUCUGGAACAGAGAUUAAAAAAACCAAAGAGAAGGCAAAUGUAACAGAAGAUAGCAUAUCCAAGCGGAAGCACAGCCAUUCCAUUGCACCAGCAAUGUUGAACUUGGGCCGUAAAUACCCAUCUACUAAUUUCAUGUUUGUGUCCUUGAAUCUAGAUUCUUGAUCAAAGCUCCUGACGGUCAUAGAUCCUGAUAUAGUUUCAGAAAAAUGUUGAAUUACUGGAGCUUUGCAUACUCUGGCCAAUCUUGACAGUUCUCGUGCUGAAGAUAUGUAAUAUUGCUGCAUAAUUAUAAUGUUGCAUGAACCUUGUGCUCAUAUAUGAUAUAAAUCUAAGCUUCAAGGGAGUACCGAAAAAAAGGGAGAAAAAUGGUUUUGGAGAUAAUUAAAAAACAGAAAUACAUUACUUAAACACAGCAUCUAAACUGCAAAACCGGCGGUCCAUCUUGCAGCCAAUUUCAUUACCCUUAUCUUAAAAAUGACUUGGCACUAAAAAACCACCAUAUCAACAGUAAAGAAACUUUCAUUUUGAGGCCAUAGUAAUUGACAUGGUACAUACAAAUUGGCACCUCCUCAAUAUGCAAUGCUUGUGAUUGGGCCCCAGCUCAGCAGGAUCAGAAAGGAACAUGAGCAUGCCAUGAAUUGUAAGAGUUACCCUGAAUUAGGAUUCCAUUUUAAUGCAGUUGGUUUAAAAUGAAUCAAAUUACUCGAUAAGCAAUGCACUACUCCAAAUUUUUUGCUAAGCAACAUUUUGGAGUAAAGUUCUGUUUAUACCAAAAAUGGUUUUGAACCUACUGGCAUUUUCAGGAACAGAUAUGAUUGAUAAUCUAAUCUGCAAGAGUACAUGGCAUCAGUAAGCGAAGAAAAUUAAUGUAAUAUGAGAAACAUAAGGUGAUCUUAACAACAGAGCAUGAGAUGUCAUGUGACAAAGCCAUGUGUUGGCUGGCAUUAAAUAACAAGAAGAGGUCCUAACAAGUUCACAAUGGUUACCUGAUACCAGAUGCAGGUUGCAAUCACAGGAAUAAAGACAAUGAAAACCUGCCAUGCAACCUGUGACAUAACUGCAAUAAUUGCCAGGAGCCGAAUCAAUGAGAAGGCAAAUGCCCCAACUUGCAUGGGAAUGUUUGUGUCGAUCGCAUUUUGGUCUGUAGAAGCCUGAAAAAAGGGAAGGAUCAAUUAAGUAAUAAUCUAACACUUCACUUUGGUCAUUAGGGAAAAAUGCAAGGCAGAAAUAAAUAUAUAUUCAUAUUUGCACUUACUCUGUUUAGAAUCCGUCCACUUGGGGUGGCAUCAAAGAAUGACAUUGGGGCACGGAAAAGGCUCAAAUGCAUUUUAUUGAAGACUAUAGUAGCUGUCUUGUAACUAGCUGUUACAAGAAGCAUGGCUCUAGAAAGGACGCAAAAAGAACUUCCAACAGCCAAAGCUACAUAAACAAUCAUGAGAGUAGAACCUCUAACUGCAGGUUUCACAUCAUCUGACACGGGACUUGCCCAAGCCAUCCAAUAAUUGCUUCCAAUCUGAAGCAGCUGAAAGAGAAUCUGUGACAACAAUAUAAAGGGCACAAGAGCUCCUCCAUAUGCUGUCCUGGUGUAUUUCCAAUAAACCCGUAACCCAACUUCACCUUUCUCUCUCUCCUCUUCUUGAACAAGCUGACCUUUUGGUCCAUCUAUCCCCUCUGCUUUACCAUUUUGGCCACCUUUGUUUUCUUCUUUUUGUACAACUUCAGAAGUACCACCUAUAUUAUCACUGUCCUCAUGGAUACUUAAUUUUCUGAAAGUGACCCUGCCUCUACAGAAUUGAGUGGUAACAAAGCUUUCUCAUGUGCUCCAACAAGUUCCAUAAAAUCAGUUCCAGAGUUAAGAAUUUCAUUGUACUUUCCAGCUUGUGUAAUCAUUCCAUCUUUCACGACCUGCAGGGAUGGUACAUUUCUUAAGUUUAUCUAAUGGAAACAAAGGCGGGGAAGAAAAAACAUGGUAAUUACUCACCAGUAUGAGAUCAGCAGUAGGUAAGAACUCUACUUGAUGUGUAACAUAAAUCACUGUUUUCGAACCCAAGAGACCCAGCAAACAUUCCUGUUAUACGAAGAUUACUUACAAAUAGCAUCAAUGAAAGGCUUUUUUUUUUUUUCUAUUUUAUUUAUUCUAAUAUAAAGGAAAGGAAACAAAAUAAACGGCAAUGGCAGAGCAAGGGUCCCUAAUUACCUCAGGCAGACCAAGAACCAAAUCUCAUGUAGCCUAUAGCAGUGCAUAUUUAAACAUACAAGGAUAGCUCAGUUUCUACUUAAUGCAAUGGCAUUGUAUAGUUGUUUUAUUUCAUAGAAUUAUGAAUAUAUGUAUGUAUGUAUAUUGCUCAAACUCGGUCUUUUAGAAGAGAAAGGAAUUACCUUAAAGAGAUGGGUUCCUGUACGAGCAUCCACAGCACUGAAGGGAUCAUCAAAUAGAUAAAUAUCAGUAUUUUGGUAAAGCGCACGUGCAAUCUGUAUUCUUUGCUUCUGGCCACCACUCAAAUUGAUUCCCCGCUCACCUACAACUGUCUGAUCACCAAAUGAGAGAACCUCCAGGUCCUUCUUCAAGGAACAUGCAUCAAGGACCCUUUCAUACCUUUCUCUGUCCAUCUCCUUACCAAACAAGAUGUUCUCUUCUAUCUUGCCACUCUGUAUCCAAGGAGACUGAGCAACAUAGGCCUUUGUUCCACACAGCUUAAGGAUACCAGAUAUCUUAGGCACUUCUCCCAACAUACAAGAUAGUAAGCUUGACUUGCCUGAGCCUACAGUACCACAAACAGCAACCCUCAUGCCACGGCACACCCGCAAAUUAAUAUCCUUCAGUGUUGGAUUAGGGGAAGAUAAAUCCCAAGAGAAAUUCCCAUCCACUAUCUCAAUUGCUGUAUCAGAACUACCUUUUGGAAGCCUCUCGAUAACAUCACUCUGCAGGUCAUCCAGACAAAGAAAGGAUGCAAUUCUGUCAAGGGAAACUUUAGUCUGAGCUAUCGCUGAGAUUAAGUCAGGAAGAUGGUAAAUGGGUUGUUGAAGUAUCCUGAAUGUUGCAAUUGAAGAUAAGAUCUUCCCUGAUUCAAGCGGGAUCCCUAGAAGCAUGCAAGUUCCAAAGGUGACCACAGACACAAAUGUUGGGGCUCCCCAGAAAACAAAAGUGGUCAUGGCUAAAGUGUAAAGAUAUUUUUUCAACCACCCUGUCUCAUUCUUCCGAAGGUCCAUAAUCUUAGACAAAAACUUCAUUUCCCAUCCCUGAAGCUUGAGAAUCCUCAUGUUUCUUAAGAUCUCAGAUGUUGCCUUCAUCCUUUUAUCUUUUGAUUCCAUCAACUUGUCCUGAAACUUCUCUUUCCAUUUCCCCAGUGGAACAUUUGUCAACAUAACAAUUACAGUUUCAAAGAAAGCUGCAACUGAAGCAAGGCCCAGGUUUCUAUACAAGAUUAGCAAGGCUAAAGCAACUUGCAUAAUCAGUAUCCAUGGAUCAUGCAUAUACCAACUGAAACCCCCAAUUCUCUCCGCAUCAACAGACAUAAAAUUAAUGAUCUCCCCAGUAGUAUGACCCUGCUUUGACUGGCAGGAAAGAGUCAAACCCUUGUUGUAGAUCAUUGUGAUCAGUACUGCUCUGAUCCUAAAUCCAACCUGCUCCAAUCUAAACAACCAGUGCCUCACUGAAAGGCACUCAACAAGGUUCGCAACAAAAAAGGCCAUAACCAAAAGAUAGCCUUCAUUUUUGAAUUCCCUCCGCCCAUUGAGAUAUUGAACAAAGGCGUCAAUAAGAUAGGGCCCAACAUAAGAAGCUAAUGUGUUUAGAAGCGCGAACGGAGCUGUCACUAGGAUUCUGCCCAGGAUACAGAGAUCAAUGCUUUCACCAGCUUAAGCGUGGUCACUCCACUGCUCCCACCACUAUCACACUGGAACUUAUUUCUAAAUGCUGGAAAGAUCCCUACAACGCUGUUGCUGGUAUCAAGCUGAGGAACACCCUCAAGGUCUAAUGUUUUCUUGUUACCCUCAGCAAUCAAGGGACCCAUCCAAGAGAAAGGAAGAAGGCUAAAAAAACCAGCUUUUGAAAAUGGGGUCACAGUUGCUUCCCCCUUGGAUUUAUCUGACUCUACUCUACUUAUACUAGUACUACCAUUCAAAAGGGGUUCCCUAAGGAUUGAUUCCUCAUCUUGAUUCUUUCCUAAAAACCCGGAAUGGCACAAGAACAUACCAGUUAUGACGUAGACAAUAUCGGGCACCAAAAAUUGAAUUGUGAGGGACUGGUGUUUCUUAACAAUAUCUAUAACAAGGCAAUAACAAGAGAUGGAGAAGUAAAAUCCCCACCAAACUCUUAACAAAAAUGGGAACUUUGGUUCAACAGAACCAUGGAAUUGAGUGUGCAAAUAUACACAAACUGCUCCCCAGGCAAGUGUUCUGAGAACUAAAUCCAAAAGGGUCACCAGCUUUUCAUCAGACCAGCCAUUUCUAUACCAAUAAAAGUAGUUCAAAAAACACAAGAAGAAAUUCAACAGUGACAGACCCUGAGAGCAAGCAAACGUUUGCUUAUAGGACAAAGACCUGGUGCUCUUACAGUUUUCAAGAGCACUCCCCUUGAUUCUCUUGCACACCCAUGAUACAAAUAGAAGAAGCAACAAAACGAGAUGCAAUGAGGCAGAAAAGGCACGUAAAAAGAUGGGGUUUAGCAGAAAACCGAUACCUGGGUACGUAACCAUGGCUUCAGCACCCACCAUUUUUUUAGAACCUUAGGAUUCUGCUAAAAUGGUAUUUUGGAGGGGUGCUUAUGAAUUGAAAGUGAAGAUUUUUGGUACUUUAUAUAUGAGAAACAAGAUGGGAUGCCACUGGUUUUAAGAGUGUAUUCCAGAAAGUCAAAGGAUACUUCGUUGGGAAAUGAUUAUGUAUUAUUAUUAUUUGGGAUAAGUAUUUAUAAUUAUUUUUAAAAUAAUAAUUAAUAAAACAAUAAUUUAUUAUUAAUCAAUAUUUGAUAGGUUAUUGAUAAUAAUAAUAAUUAGGAAAGAAAAAAAAUUGAAUCAUAACUACAGUACAUCAAUUAGAUUGGCAUUUGGAUACACUCCUUAAUUUUUAUUUUUUCAAAAAUAGAAAGUCCUAUAUAAAAUAUAAGAACUCUUACACAAAAAACAAUAAAUAAAUAAAUAAAUAAUAACUCUUCAUUCUUCAAAUUCUUUCCAAAAUUUUUAAAAUUGAAGCAAAUUUUUUUUUUCUUAAUUUUUUAAAAAAAAUUAAAAGACAUAUUCAAGUGAGGUAAACAUUUUUUAAUAAAUUUUUAAAAUUUUAAAAAAAUAAAAUUGAAAGUCAUAUUCAAGUACUCAAAGCAUCUACCUACUCAUUUAUUAUAAGAACUCCUACAUUUUAUAUAAGACUUUCUAUUUUUUAAAAUAAAAAAUAGAAAAUACAUCCAAACAUGCACUAAAUGAAUGGAAAUGAAAGAUAACAAUAAGGUUAAUUAGACUAUUGCACAGCUUACUCAUGUUGAAUUAAUUUGAGAGGUAUAUCAUUUUCAUUUCUCAGAUGAGGUAGUAGAUAUAAAAUUAAAGGGUGACGAGAUAAAUUCAGAACAGAAAAAGAGAAAUUUAUACAAACAUCUCAUUUACUUAGAGGUACAAGUUUGUCACAGACAAUACAUUCUGCUUAUCCUCCUUACUCUUAUGGCGAUUUCUAUCGCAUUGUAAACAUCAUACAAACAUUGUCGUAAUACCUCUUCCUGGUAGUGAGAUCACAGAACAAGAAAAGGAUCAUAUGGAAUGGGAAUUAGGUUCAGAUCUUCUUUUCUUCUAAUGGUCAACCCAAAUUCCUCAGUCAUGUCUAGAUCCUCAUGCUUCAUUCCAUCCGGAAGUUUCCAGUCAAAAUGGUAGAGCAAAUUUGCAAGUGGCAGUUCAACAUUAGGUAUAGCAAACAAAAUGCCUGGGCACAUCCUCCUUCCAGCACCAAAUGGGAUAUAUUUAAAAUCAGUACCCUUGAAAUCAAUCGAACUAUCCAGGAACCUCUCAGGAAAAAAUUUAUUGGGUUCAAACCAAUGAUCAGGAUCUUGAGCAAUUGCCCAUGCAUUAAUGAUGACUUUAGUGUUUUCAGGUAUCUCGUAUCCAUUAAUCACGCACCUUUCCCUGCAUUCUCUUGGAAGCAACAAAGGAACAGAAGGGUGUAGCCUCAAGGUUUCUUUUACUACUGAAUUCAAGUAUUUUAAUUCAUGAAUGCCUGUUUCAUUGAUGUCCCUUUUUCCAUCAAAGACCCGUCUAACCUCAGCUUGAGCCUUUUCCAUUACUAUUGGGGAUUUCAGCAUUUCUGCCAUCGCCCACACCACAGCCGUUGACGACGUCUCACCACCACCACUGAAAAUGUCCUGAAAAAGGAUUACUGAAUUUUAGAUUAGGCCAGUGGUGCCAAUAAUUCUUUUCGUCAUCCAAUAUGAGAGACUGAAAAUGAUUACAGGUAAAAAUCAUAGGCGCAAUUCAUUGGCCUUAUUCCAUGCAAAAUAAAACAUUCAAAAAGAACCUACCUGUUGCAGAUUUGAUUUCAAAAUGAAAAUGGAUUGAAUAUCAAUCAAAUUUCAUGGUAAAAAAUGAGUUUCCAUAGCUUCAAGGUGUUUCAUUACCACCUUGCUAGAGAAACAUAAGGCAUGUCUCAAAAACUCCUUCCCAAAAUUUACCAAAAAUGCAUUUUAUUGUAAUUUGUUAUUAUAAACGGCUUCUGUGCCUGAAAAUAUGAAACCAAAGAAAAUGAUAGUUAACCGACAUUCGAUGAUAAUUCUUGAAGAAAAAGUUAAAUCGUUUCAAUAUAUAGAAAGUCAAUAGCUAAAAGCACACUACUAACCAAUAGGACUGCUUUGACGUUGCCGUCAGUUAAGGGAAUUCCAAGGUCCCCAUGCUCCUGAAGGUUUAAAAGAACAUCAACUAGAUCUUCCUGGGUUUCGGGUUGCCCCGCUUUUGUUGUUGUCUUCCUCUUCCUGUGGUCAUCAAUAAUAUUGUUAAGUAUCCUAUCAAUUUUCUGGUGCACUUUCUCAAGUUUAGGCUUCAUUCCACUGAUAUAGUGAAGCCAUUUAAGCGAAGGGUACAUAUCUGCAACACAGAAACCUGCUGACAGCUCCACAGCUUCCAAGAUAGCUGAUACAAAUGCAUCCUGGCCUCUGAAUUUUUUGCCAAAAGCUGACCUUGAUGUUAUGCCAUAUGUCAAAGAGAAAAUUUUUUCGCUAAGAUUGAUUGGUGAUCCUGCAUUCAAAGAGAUGCUCCAGAUGAGUUUUGAAACCUCCUAUUCUCGAAUCGAUUGGAAUGACUUGACGCGCUUUGCACUCAAAAGUUCAAUGGUACAAAUUUUUCGAAGUUGUCUCCAGUAGUCACCAUAAGGAGAAAAAGAAAUACUUGUAGCGUUAUAAUUUAUGAUAGUAGAAGAAAGAAGAGGAGGCCUUUGAGCAAAAAUAGUAUCAUGGGUUUUCAUAACCUCUCUGGCAAUUUCUGGUGAAGAAACUACGAGGGCAGAAACUUCACCAAGUUCUAGGUGCAUGAAAGGUCCAUAUUUGCUGGCCAAGCGUUUCAGGGUGUGAUGGGGUAGUGAGCCAACAAGUUGGUGCAUGUUUCCUAUGAGGGGUAGUUUCCAUGGUCCUGGGGGCAGCUUUGCGGGUGAGAUUUUGGAUUUGGACCUUUCCUAUUUUGAAAACAAUGAACAUGGAGAGAAGGAAGGCAAAGAAGGCAUAGGAAGAGGGAAGAUGGAUCUCCAUUGGGAUAAAGGAGUGUAGAAACUAAGAUAACGUGACUGGUUUAUUAGCAGAAUUGCCUUUUAUACCAGUUUUAAACUGGUACAAGUCCUUCCCUAUGAAAAAUGUUAUUGAUGAAAAACUCCAGGGAUGCUUUCAUUUCAUAUGAUGAAUGAAAAAAAGGUGAAGAAUUUUAGAGCUGUUUUGGCUGUGUUUUUUAAAAAUUGUUUUUAAAAAUUGUUUUCAAAAUAGAGAACCAAAAAUAGUUUUCCAGAAUUUUUUAAAAACUGAGUGUUUGACAAGAUGUUUUAAAAUAAUAGUUUUUUAAAACAAAAAACAAGAAGUUUGUUUGGAUGAAAGAAUUUGUAUUGUUUUUAAAAAUAAUGUAUUACUUUUAAAAAUAAUGUAUUACUUUUAUUUCAUAAAAAUUUUAUAAAAUUAAUUUAUAAUAAUAUGAAAUCAAAUUCAAGUUAAGUCUUAUUAAAAAAUAAAAGUUAAAUCCACAAUUAUAUACGAGUUAAAGAUAAAUAAUUUUUUUUAAUUAUGAAACAAUUUUUUUUAUUGUAGUGAAACAAAAAUUUCUAUAAGAUAAAAAUAAUUUUAAUAUUUAUUUUUAAUACAAGUCAAUUAAGUACUUUUAUUAAUUUUUAAAUUUUUUUUUAUUUGAUCAUGAUUUCUUUUGUUUUUUUUUAGAAACAUUUUUAAAGUUAAAGAAUCAAAAAAAGUUUUUUAAUGUUUUAUAAAACUAAGGAUAUUUGAUAAGUUAUUAGUAAAAAAGGAUUUUAAAAAUAAAAAACAAAAAGACUUGUUCAGGUAAAUUGUUUUUUUUUAAAAAAAACUAUUUUGAUUUUGUAAAAACAUUUUAAAUUUAAUUUAUAUAAUAUUAAUUAAUUAAAUUUAAUUGAAGUCUUAUUGAAAAUGAAAAUAAUUUCAUAAUUACAAAUAAAUUUAAAAAAUAUAUAGUUUUUAGUAAAACAUAAAUAGUAAUAUUAUAAUAAAAUUAUAAAUUACAUUUUUAGUAUAAAAUAUACUAUUUUAUUAUAUUAAUAAAUUCAUGCUAUUAAUGAGUAUAUUAUUUAAGUUUUAAAUUAUUUUUAAAAAUUAAUAUACUUGUUAACAAAAUCAAUGCAUUAAGUCUUGUUUAAUUUGAAGUUAUUUUGUGUAGCGAAAAAAAUUGAAAAAUAAUAAUUCUAUACAGAAGAGAAAUAAUAAAGUGUAUGUGUUUUUAUAUUGUUUUUAAAAUUUGAUAAAAAUAAUUUUUACUUGUUUUCUAAAACUUGUUUUCUAUUUCACUUUUUUAACCAGAAAGUAUUGUGGAUUUUUAAAAACUGAUUUCUUAUUUUAAACAGACUCUUAGUUUUUUAUGUUGCAGGUGAAGAAUGGUGGUGCCUAUGGCUUGGUUUUUUAAAUUCGGAUGGCUCUUUGUCCAACCUGGCAAGCUGGCUCUUUCUGAGUGGGUAAAGGAGUGUUGAUGAGAUUAUUAGCAGAAUUGACUUUUAUACCAGUUUUAAACUGGUGCAAGUCCGCCCAUAUGCAAAAUUUGCGUGCAUGACCUACUCCAUGGUGCUUUCUUUUCAGUUGAUGGAUGACAAAAAGCCAAAAACGUAAAGAAUUUUCCAAAAAUACAUGCAUCUAUCAGACCAUUCAGCACAACGCAGUACAUAUAUGGUUGUCAUGACCACUUAAAUUGUUAUGUUAAAGGCUAAGAAAGUCAGUUCGUUGAUGGAUGAGAAAAAGGUGAAGAAUUUUCCAAAAAUAAAUUCAUCUAUUCGACCAUUGAGCACAAUGCCCCAGGUGAAGAAAGGUGAUGAUUUUUUUUCACUUCUUUAGUUGGCUGACAAUUUAAUUUCUUUCUUUUCAUUCUUGGACCAAAAUUUACGAGAGCCGACUCUUUGUGACCGAAUACAUGUACCAUGCAUUCGUGUUGCUUCCUUUCAUCCUUUAGCCAACCUGACAAGCUGGCUUGUCAGGAAUGCCUAAGUUGAAACGGAGUCAUCUGGUGCUAAAAGUUAAAAAGGAGGACAUGGUUUUUCAAUUCAUGGAUUGACGUGCCGAUGAUUAUCUUUUUAGUUUUCAUUCUUCAGCCAAAUUUGAGUGAGUUUGCUUUUUGUUGGUAAAUAAUCAGCUCUUAUUUCAAACUUGGAUAGCUAGCUUGUCAGGAAUGCCUAAGUUGAAACGGAGUCAUCUAGUGCUAAAAGUUAAAAAGGAGGACACGGUUUUUCAAUUCAUGGAUUGACGUACUGGUGAUUAUCUUUUUAGUUUUCAUUCUUCAGCCAAAUUUGAAUGAGUUUGCUUUUUGUCGGUAAAUAAUCAGCUCUUAUUUCAAACUUGGAUAGCUGGCUUGUCAGGAAUGCCUAAGUUGAAACGGAGUCAUCUGAUGCUAAAAGUUAAAAAAGGACAUGGUUUUUCAAUUCAUGGAUUGACGUACUGGUGAUUAUCUUUUUAGUUUUCAUUCUUCAGCCAAAUUUGAAUGAGUUUGCUUUUUGUUGGUAAAUAAUCAGCUCUUAUUUCAAACAUGGAUAGCUGGCUUGUCAGGAAUGCCUAAGUUGAGACGGAGUCAUCUGAUGCUAAAAGUUAAAAAGAAGGACAUGGUUUUUCAAUUCAUGGAUUGACGUACUAGUGAUUAUCUUUUUAGUUUUCAUUCUUCAGCCAAAUUUGAAUGAGUUUGCUUUUUGUCGAUUAAUAAUUGGCUCUUAUUUCAAACUUGGAUAGUUGGCUCGUCAGGAAUGCCUAAGUUGAAAUGGAGUCAUCUAGUGCUAAAAGUUAAAAAGGAGGACAUGGUUUUUCAAUUCAUGGAUUGACGUACUAGUGAUUAUCUUUUUAGUUUUCAUUCUUCAGCCAAAUUUGAAUGAGUUUGCUUUUUGUCGGUAAAUAAUCAGCUCUUCUUUCAAACUUGGAUAGCUGGCUUGUCAGGAAUGCCUAAGUUGAAACGGAGUCAUCUGGUGCUAAAAGUUAAAAAGGAGGACAUGGUUUUUCAAUUCAUGGAUUAACAUAAUGGUGAUUAUCUUUUUAGUUUUCAUUCUUCAGCCAAAUUUGAAUGAGUUUGCUUUUUGUCGAUAAAUAAUCAACUCUUAUUUCAAACUUGGAUUAAUGGACUUUGAUGUUAUCAGGGUUCAAAGUAUCAGUCGAGUCCGGUACAAUUUAGCCAUGUCGUAUCCGCUUCGACACCUGCCAUGACGAGACCGAUACCAGAUAUACUAUUAUGCAUGAACUCGGUUGGGAAUCGAUAAGACUCGACUGACUCGGCUGAGUUUCUAAGUUAACUCGGUUGACUCAGCUAAGUUACAGAGAAUAAAAAAAAAAAAAAAAUCAGAGAUUGUCAUUUCAAAAUCAAACACCUAUUCUAAACUUUUAAACCAUCAAUGAGAAGAUCAAAGAAGACGAAUAAGAAAAAACCCAACCUGUGACCCAUUCAGAAAUAAGAGGAGAAACCACUGAAGGAUGAGGGCAUGAUUUAAGAUUUAGUUACCUGAUUUUCCUCAAAAUCGAGCAUUACCGGAGGAUGGAGCUUUGGUGUUAGCAGUGGUGACUCAUCAAGUGGACUGAAUUUUUCACAGGCGAUGUCGACAAGACAACCCCCUCACAGUCAGAUUGCUCUCCCUCCCAUGUUGGGUCUUGCAUGGUUGCAAAUUUGCAAUUGCAGGUGGUGUUGUGGGUCUUGACUCUUGAUAGCAAUGGUGGCGUGCAAGGGUGGGAGAAGCUCAAAUUAGUAAAUUAAAAAAUCCCUUUUAUAUGGAUUUAUGAGAUAUGAUUUAAUAGUAACAUAUUAGAAGAAUUGGUCCUGAUUUGCUAAAGUAAAAUAAUAUGAAAGGUAUGGAUGAGGUUUAAUGAUAAAUUAAAGUGUUUACAUGGUAAUGUGAGAAUUAAAUCAUCAAUUUUUAAUAUUAUCACAAAUAAUUUUGAGCUAAAUGUGAAAAAAAAAAUUGUUUUAUUAAAAUUUUUAGCUUAUUCAAUUAUAUCUUUUUUUUUAAUUUUUAUAAUUUUUUGAAAUUUAUAAUUAUCUUAUUUUUCGUAUCGUCUGAUACCGAACCGAGACACCGAGACCGAUAUGCCUCAUAACCCUCCGAGUCAAUGACCAAUACCUCGACUUUAAACCAUGGAUGUUAUACACACAAAAAUAAUGGUAGAUAUUGACAAUGGCUGUUCAAUUCAAGGGGUAAUGAAUUUCAUUUUCAUUCUUUUGCCAGCAAUGAGAGGAUCCAAGUUAUUAGACUGGCCCAUUUGGACAAAUUCAGGUCUAUUUUCUACUUUUGUUCAGGUAUUUGUUUUUACUUGGAAAUCGAUCCAAUUUUUUGGAUGCUAUUCCCUAAAAUUUUGUAAAUACUAACAUAUAUCUAAAUUUACUACAAACUUAAUAAAAAGAAAAAAAAAUCUAUAAAGAUACACGGUUAGUUUAAAAGAAUAUAGUAUUCUAUUUUCCGUCAUCCCCUCUAUUAGAUUAUCAAAAGUGUAUUCCUAAUACAUUUUCUUUAUACAUAUCCAACUAGUAUAGUACCCAAAAGAUAUACACAUACUGAAAAGUUCUACAAUAUGCAUUCACGUACUAUUAUUUUGUAGUCGUUAUUGUUUUGUACCUUAAUUUUAUUUUUUUGUAUCUUAAUUUCAUUUUUGGUAUUGGGUCUCAUUUUUUAUACCUUGGACGUCCUAUUAUUAAUGUUUGUAUUCUUAUCUGAUAAUCUAGGUUUUUUCAUUCAUAUUUCAAUGAUGGAGAUUAGAAGUUUAGAAGGUAUGGAUUCGGUAUUUUAGUCUAACCUUUUUAUAUAGGUGGUAAAAAUAAAGAGUCCACUUGAAGCUAUGAUGAUUUACAAGAUGCAUGUGAAGAAUUAUACCAUGAUGUGGAAAAACUUGGUUUAAACAUUGUUUCUCUUGACCAGAAAAUCACCCCUCUUAAGGUUAACAUGAUGAGUUUUAAAAAAAAAAAGUUUGAAAUUUAUAAAAGAAACAACUAAGGGUGUGUUUGGUUUGGAAAAUUAUUUCUAGUUUUCAUUUAUAUUUUUAUUUUGUAAAUACAACUUUCAUUUCCUAUUUUUUCUUUUCUCGAAAAUGCAUUUGAUUAAGAAAAAUGAAAACUAUUUUUAGAAAUAAAAGAUGUAAAAUCUUGUUUGAUUUUUUAGUUUUCACUAACAAGUGAAAAAUAGUUAAUAUAUAUAUAUAUAUAUAAUUAAAAUUUUACACAACACACAUAUCAUAGUAUAAGAUAUUGUGGACUCACAUUUUUCACUUGUGUCUCCACUCAUUGAAGAGACUCGUUUUUUAUUUGUGAAAAACUAUAUUUUAUGAAAAAAAAAAUUAAAGUCAUCGCUUAUUUUUAUAUUUUUGUAAAAGGAAAUAUAAAAUAAAAAACUAAAAUCCUAAGAAAAAUGAGUCUUUAAACUUUUGAGAAAAAACAUGUCUUUUAAAAAAUCGGGGUCUAGGUUUAAAGACCAAGUUAUUUAUUAGGAAGGUACCUUAAAAAAAUAUCACCCCUCUAAAACCUUAUAAAGGUCUAUGGGCUAAUAUGAGGGAAACAUGACAAUUAAUCAAUAAAUCAUGUAUACCACAAGAUACCAAAGGUGAUUAUGUCUAAGAUCAAAUGACAUGCUAUUCACAUCAAAACAAUCAUACUAAAGAAAUCAAUCAUAUAGGGAAAGGACAUGAUCGUACCUAAGUUACGUCUUAAAGCACUUUUAUAAAAACAUCAAAGUUAGUUUAACUAAUAUAACAUAUAUCUUGCAUUUUAUUCUAUUUUAUUCAAGAGAUCAUACACUAGUCAAGACAAUAUCAAACAUGAAAGUAUUCCCAAACAAAUUUUUCAUAUUUUCAAAAUUAAAGAGAUAAAGGGUGUAAGGGACGUACUUGAAUAGCACUUCUAUUUGAGCACUUUAUGGAAAUAAGAUUAAUAUAUACAAUAACAAGUACAGGAUAAUCACAUGUAUAUCAUAGAUUAGGGCAAAAAUCAAUUAAUAUUGAACACAUAGAUAUUGAAUAAAUAUAGUAGUUAGAAUCAAUAAUCGAAUAACGAAUGUCUCACAUGAUGACCUCACCAAUACCCGAUUUAAUUUUGUAUGAAUUAAUUUCAUAAAUUCCAUUUUUCUAUUGACCAUGUGGAAGGAUCAUAGGAAUUUCGAUGAAUUUUAUUAUUUUUGGAAUUAUUGAAUUCCAUUCAUAUUUAUUAAAAAAAAAUCAAGAAAAUAAAAAAAUAGUAAAAAAAUAAAUAACAAGGAAAAUAUUAAAGAUGCUUGCUGAGAAAAAAUGGCAGCAAAAAUAUUAAAGAGAGCUUUUAUUAACUUUAAGGUCACUAAGGAAGAAUAAAAAGGUAAAUAAUUAAAACUAUUUGAAAACCAGAUUUUUGAAAAUAAAUUUUUGAAAUCGUGGAAUUAAGGGAUGAAUUACGUGUUUAAAGAAAGGUACACUUAAAAGUGGCCGUGCUAGGGCCCGGGGGUUGAGAGGUGGUAGGAAGUGAGAGGAGGAAUAUUGGUGGUGUUGGGCCCUACUUUGCCUCUCACGGGACCUGUUUUCCUGUGGCUUGGAAGGAGAGUCAACAUG
rnacentral:lncRNA from 1 species